UGUGCACUACCACAAUUAGGAUAUUGGACAAAUGAUCUUCCUAUAAUGACAACAUAUGAGAGCGAUUUUUUUUAUGACCCUAAAAUCCAAGAACAGAAGAACACUCCAGUUUUUUGUAUUUCACAACAUUCUGCAUUUAUGUUGAAACUUUGGAAACAGUCACCUGGGAUUUUGAAUAUGCAGGAAUGGCUGUUCAGUGAUGUAAUUCCCUACCCUUGCAUAGUAUAUCUAUUAACACUGCAUGACCUAAUAUCUGAAGCAUUGUUGAAGAAUAAUAAAUUAUAACAUCCGGUUAAAAAUAUGAAGGGAAAUAUCUCUGUAAUAGUUUCGAAAUGUUCCCGCAGUUUAACACUAACUAAUGUUGCUUUUGUGAGCUUUGUCUACUUUACUUUGUAGCGCACACACUGUUCAGUUAAAGCAAUGUGGCUUUCGGGAGCUUAAUUUGCUCUAAUUUGCUUUGUAGCGCACACACUAUUCAGUAAAACCUAAUGUGGCUUUUGGGAGGUUUGCUCUCUCUUUUGUAUUGUAGGGCACACAUCCUGUUGAGUGAAAACUAAUGUAACAUGUGAUGGGAGCACAACAAUUUUUUGAAGUUGAUUAUUAUUAGGUACAUUUUCUAUGAGUAACCACCACAACAAUAAUGUCUGCACUCCAUAUAUAUAUAUAUAUAUAUAUAUAUAUAUAUAUAGAAGGAUAUGAUCAAAUAAAAACUUUUUAAGUUACAAACUUACAAACUUUUUUUUUUAUUCUCCCAUCGUGUUAAUCUUUAGUUAUAGAAAGUAUUCAUGUUGAAAAUUCUUGAAAAAACAUCACAAUUUUUAAAAAUAACGCAUAAAUAAAUCGCGCAUUGAACACAUUUGUAACUUGAGUUUAACAUCGGGUGUAGAACACUAAUUAUCAUUAUGUUGAAUAUAUCUAUAAAUAUAUUUAAACUAUACCUCUGGGUUUGGGUGGGGUUUAGAAACAUAAAUAUUAGUUAUAUAAUACUUUUAACUUAGUUCUUACAUUCAAAAAUUAGUUUAUGUACUUCUCCAACACAAUUUUAAUCGAUGUUCUACAAAAUAUGCUAAAAAAAUGUUGAACUCAAAUUAAAUAUGUGUUGAAUGCAGAAAAUUUGUAAGUUUGUACUAGAACCCACCCACAUAUAUAUAUAUAUAUAUAUAUAUAUAUAUAUAUAUAUGCGCGCGCGCACACACACACAUAUAUAUAUUCGAAAUGACAUGUCUUGUCUUGACUUAUGUUUUUUUGGAAGUAAUCUAUAUACAUAUAUAGUUGGCCAUGUAUUUUUCAGUCAUGAAAUUGAUACUAAAUUUUUUGAUCUUUUUAUCUUAAAAAUAUUUCUUUCCUUCUCUUUUAUUUUUCAAAUACUUUAAUUCAUAUGUGUAUUGUUGAUGUGAUUUAUCUCUCUUGUAAUACUACCCAUUUACAGUUUGUAAAACUAGUUAUUACUAUUCUAUACUUUUACUACAAUCGGACUAUGGAUAAAAACUUUUCUUGGCCACCUAAGUGGCCAAGAAAAGUUUAAGUGGCCAAGAAAAGUUUUUAUCCAUAGUCCAUAACUGCUGCAACUUCAGUUAUGUUCUAUCCUGAGGAAAUAAUAUCGUUAUCGUCCGCAGGGAGGAUGGCUCUAUACUAAUCUAUGGUGUUCAGAAAGAUAUGGUCUUUAUCUAUAUAUAUAUAUACUGAUAUCUAAGUGUUGUACAUUAAAAAUGAAUUAUCAUUUAGCGAUUAAGUUCUUAUUAUCUAUUUGGCUUAUAUAGAAGAUAUUGCCGAGAUAAUGCUCAUCAGAAGAGAGUGACUGGCCUUGCCUAUUCUAGUGCAUUAAAUAUCCUUUUAUCAUCUGGAUAAGAUGCUCAGGUAAAAUUUCAAAGUGGAAGGCUAAUAGAAGAUAUCAGAUGCAUGGGCACAUUUCUGUCAAGUGUCACCAGGACCAAAGACAUUUGUUGGUUGUACAUGAAAGUUGUAUAGCCACUCGAUCCUGAGGGACCUAAUCUCGAGCCCUGCAAGCAGGUAUCUACAAAUUAUUUGCAGUGUUGACAAUCAAUUUAUAUGCUUUGUUGAAUAUCACAACAUGCUUAAUUCACCCAUGCUUUAUUAGACUUUAUUUGAAAGAGGUUGGGGUGAUCAUUUUGGGUGUAACUAUAAUGUGUAUUAAUAAUCAAGCACAUCACAAAUAUAUAUUAAUUGUGUGGGUACAUACAUACCUACAUGAACACAAUCAUAUUCGACAGAACUUGACAUUGAUUUUUCUAAAAUAGUCCCUGGUGCAAUAUCAUGUCACUCUGCUAAUGAGAGAUCUAAGUUCUUAAUGACAGAAGAAAAUUCUCAAGCUCUUUAAAUAUUUCUUGCAGUAGAUUCCGGGGGAAUUGAUCAGUGAUGCUGCAUAUAUAUUCCUGUGAUGACCAGUCCAUAUAUGCCUGCUUUCUUAACAGGCACAUUGUUUUCUUGGACUCGGCAUCUUUGACCAUAAAAUUUUUUAUCAAUCCGAGUGCAUAUUUUACCUUCUAAUUAAAGGUACGUGUUAUUUUUGAUUAAAAUGUAUCCUGAAAAUAUGAGCUUAUUAGCGAUAACACCCUCUUGACUGGAAGCUGCCUUCUGUAUUAUAUCUAUAGCCGGGUGAUGUAUGCUUCUACUCUUGCGGCUAAUCCUACAAAACACAAUCAGUUUGCUCUCGGGCUUAGUUAUGGUGGCGUACUAGUUAUAGAACUUGAGGAAGAGGAUAUUGGGGUUGGCAUUGUAGCACGCCUUAGCUUGAGACCAGCAACAACUGAGAACUUGAUAUGAGUUUUUGUUGUUGGAUAGUUGAUUCAAAUAUUAGUAGCUAUUAUUAAGCAGCAUGUGUAUGUUUUAUCAGUUAAAUAAAAGGAUAGACAUGUAGUAGUAUGUGGCAGUUACUGGAAGUUUAUUUAGGAAGUUAAGAAUAGGGUAGUUUCUUUGCCUAGUUAGUUAUCUAUUUCAAUCUGCAUAUUUAUGUGCAAUGCUGUGUAUUCAGUUUAGUUAAUGAGAGUUAUCUAUGUUCUUGUGUCUCUCAUAUUCUGAACGUGGUACAGCAAGAUUGAUGCAUUCUUUCAUGAAAGCGGUUUCAUUAGAAGUGAGAAUGAACCUACACUAUACAUGAAACGUCAAAGUGAUGGAGAAUUUCUGGUGGUUUGCUUAUAUGUUGAUGAUAUGAUAUAUAUGGGUACCUGCGAGACAAUUAUCACUGAGUUCAGGUCAAGGAUGAGGGCUAAGUUUGAGAUGACUGAUUUGGGUCUCCUUCAAUAUUUUUUGGGUCUUGAAGUGAAGCAAAAUGAAGAAGGAAUUUUUGUUUGUCAGAAAAAAUUUGCUACUGAUUUGUUGAAGAAAUUUAAUAUGAGUACUUUAGUUAAUGGGAGUUAUCUAUGUUCUUGUGUCUCUCAUAUUCUGAAAGUUUAGUCGUUUACAUAUGUGAUAAUCAGAGCCCAGUGUCUCUUGAAAUUUAUAUGUUUUAAAACAUACAUCUAGGGAUUGGAUUAGUGCAAGAGUGCUAAAGUUUUUUUUUGCUUGACGAUGUUAAGUGAUAAAUGUUCAAUGCAAAUAUACACGUAGUGCAGAAUCUGAAAUGAGAAUUAUCAAUAGAGUAUGAAAAUGAGAAAAGAAAGCCAAUAUUUUGGCAUAUACAAUGUUUCACUCAUACAGCCCGUAAUUUUCAAUGCAAAUAUACAUGUACCUGCCCAAUUUCAAAAGAGAAUUAUCAAAACAAAUAUGCAAAUAUACAUGCUUGACUAUGUUAAUUGAAUUUUUUUAAUUCGAAUAUACAUGUAGAAGCAGAAUAUGAAAUAAGAACUGUCAACAUAGUAUGAAAUAUGAAAAUAAUAGAAGAAACUCAAUAUUCUGGUAUUCGGAGUGUCUGACACAACACAUUUUCGAGUAUCGGAUUUGGCAUUAUCAAAAAUUCCGGACACAGUUACAAUGUCCAAAUUAAUUUUGGACAUGGAUACAAGGACGCAGUGAAUUUUAAUAUAAUUAUUUAUUUUCAUUUGAGAAAUAAAAAAAAUAUUGCAUUAUUUUUCAGUUGAAAAUGUGCAAUUGAUUGAUUUAUAAAAUCCAAAAAUUAACAACUAUAACAAAUGUAUUUAACAUUUUUCUUGCCAAUAUUCAUGUAAAGCAAAAAUUAUGCACACCAAAGUAAAAGAAAGAAAAAAGGGAAACAACUAGAUAAUGAAUGGGGACUUAAAGAUGUCCAGAUACAUUUGUAAUAUAUAAUACAUCUCAAUACAAGUAUUCCUCUAUCUUUUCACCCUUUUACUAUCAUCUUCUUCAUCUUCUCAUUUUCACCACUUCUCAUCUUCUUCUUCCUGUUCCCCCAUCUUUCAUAACAUCGCUUCUUACACAAUUUCUUUCGUAAUUCUCAACGAUCUUUGAUUUUGAUUUCUCUGGUAACCAUCGACUUUUCCGAUGAUGAAUGGGCGGUAUAGAGCUUUCAACAAAGCAGUCCGGCCUCUAUCCUGUUUCUUGUCUUGUGUCGUGCCGUGUCGACACGGGUACGCUGAACGAAAUAGACGAGUCGGAGUAACACAGCUAAACAAUGAAGAAAAUGCUUCAAAACUUGUGGUAAGAAUGUGAGAGUAUUUAAUUAUAUGAAAUCUUGAUAAUUAAAGGCCGGACUGUAUAUGAUCUAACAACUCUUGAAUGUCAUGAGGCUGAUCAAGUGCCCCCUUAUUUCAAUAAUCCAAUGAUACUCUUUGGUAUCUAUGCUCCUUAUUUUAUCUGUCCUAUAAAAUAGGCGUUUCAUUCAGUUACUAAUUCUGCACCUAUACUAAUCUAUGAUGUUCAGAAAGAUAUGGUCUAUAUAUACUAGUCUAUGGUGUUCAGAAAGAUAUGGUCUAUACUAGUCUAUGGUGUUCAGAAAGAUAUGGUCUUUAUCUAUACUGAUAUCUAAAGUGUUGUGUAUUAAAAUAAAUUAUGAUUUAGUUAUUAAGUUCUUAUUAUCUAUUUGGCGUAUAUAGAUGAUUGCCGAGAUACAUGCUCAUCAGAAGAGAGUGACUGGCCUUGCCUAUUCCAGUGCAUUAAACAUCCUUUUAUCGUCUGGAUAUGAUGCUCAGGUGCAUUUUUAAACUGGAAGGCUUUUAGAAGAUAUCAGAUCCAAAGUCACAUGACGCUAAUAAUCCUUUUGGUUUUUGCAGAUCUGUGCUUGGAACAGAUUUGGAUAGAAAUACCAGUCUAGUAAUUUCAUGAAUGAUCAUGGAAAUGCUUUGUCUCCCCGGCACAAUUCUGUCAAGUUUCACCAGGACGAAAGACAUAUGUUUGUUGUACAUGAAAGUUGUCUAGCCACUCUGGAGGGGCCUAACCUCGAGCCCUGCAAGCAGGUGUCUGCAAAUUAUUUGCAGUGUUGACAAUGAAUUUAUAUGCUUUGUUAAGUAUCACAACAUGCUUCACCACCCUUUAUUAGACCAUAUUUGAAAGAGGUCAGGGUGUUCAUUUUGGGUGCAACUAUAAUGUGAAUUAAUGAUCAAGCACAGAACAAAUAAAUAUUAAUUGUGUGUGUACACAUAUACCUACAUGAACACAAUCAUAUUCGACAGAACUUGAUAUUGGUUUUUCUUAAAUUGCCCCCUGGUGCAAUAUCAUGUCGCUCUGCUACUGAGAUUAAAAAGUUUUUAAUGACAGAAAAAAUUCUCAAACUCCUUAAGUAUUGUUUGCAGUGGAUUCCCGGGGAAUUGAUCGUCGGUGAUGCUGCAUAUUCAUGUGACGGCCAGUCCAUAUAUGCCUGCCUUUUAAAAAGGCACAUUGUUUUCUUGGACUCGGCAUCAUUUACCCUCUUGACUGGAAGUUGCCUUCUGUAUUACAUCUACGGCCAGGUGAUGUAUGCUUCUACUCUUGCGGCUGAUCCUACAAAACACAAUCAGUUUGCUCUCGGGCUUAGUAAAGGUGGCGUACUAGUUAUCGAAGAAGAGGAUACUGGGAUUGCUUUGUAGCACGCCUUAGCUUGAGACCAGCAACAACUGAGAACUUGAUAUGAGCUUUUGUGAUAAUCAGAGUCUAGUGACUCUUGAAAUCUAUAUGUUUUAAAACAUACAUCUAGGUAUUGGAUUAGUGCAAGGGUUUUGAAGGUGUUUUCUUACUUGACUAUGUUAAGUGAUAAAUUUUCAAAGCAAAUAUACAUGUACGUGUAGAAAUUGGAAUGAGAACUGUCAACAGAGUAUGAAAAUAAGAAACAAAACCAAUAUUUUGGCAUAUACGAUGUUCCACUUACAAAGCAUGUAACAUUCAAUGCAAAUAAACAUGUAGCCACCCAAUUUGAAAAGAGAAUUGAUGUCAACACAACAUAUAUGAAAAUAAUAAAAGAAACCCAAUAUUUUUGCUUGACUAUGUUAACCCAUAAAUUUUUAAUGCAAAUAUAUAUGUAGCCACACAAUUUGAAAUGCGAACUUGUCAUCAUCAGAGUAUGAAAAUAUUAAAAUAAUAAAAUAAUAAAAGAAACUCAAUAUUUUGGCAUAUAUAUACAAAAUUUCACUCAAAAAAUUUGUAAUUAGCAGCUAGUAUCCAGCUCUUUGGUAUAAAUUGUAGGCCCACUAUCACCCUCAAGUCCAGCAUACACAACACCCUUUUAGAUGUAUAAAAAAUACCAUCACUUAACCGGCCUCAAAAUGGAUCAGUUCUGAUCCGAGUCUAAUUUGAAUAUUCAUGAAUUGAUCUCAAAAUAAUUUCAUUCGCAAAUAUAAUGGAUUAUUUAUUGGAUUAAAUAUGGAUUUAGGUCAAUCGGACCGGUCUAUGAUCCAACCCCAUCAUUAUAUGUAUAUAUAAAAUAAUAUUAAUAUAAUAUUUAAUACUUAUAUACUCAAUAUGUUAUUCCCGUCCUAUUUUUGCACGUUUUUAAUGAAAAUAAAACAUUUAGAAAAAAUGUUAGUGGAAUAUUUAUAAUUCUAUCUUAAAAUGAUAGUUUUGUUUCGACUUAACUUAGUUAAACUAAUAAUUUUAAUUAACAAUUUUUUGGGGCUGUUUGUUUCGUAGAAGCAGAAGCUGCUUCUGACUUCUGCUUCUCUUGACCCGUUAAUGUAAAUAAGUAGAAGCAUUUUAAGAAGCUGAGAAUGCUAGCUUCUCUCUUACAGCUUCCACUUCUUUUCCAAACAUUUUAUUAACUUAUUUAAUUUUCAUUUCUACUCCACUUCUUUAGUUUAAGUAAGAAGUCACAUCUUUUAAGCUAACCCAAACGGUCCCUAUAUAUUAUAUAACUUCAAAACUUUUUGAUAUGGCCCUGUUUGGGGCUUAGCUGAUAGCGGAUUGAAUUAGAUGUUUUGAUUAGCGGAUUGAAAUAGAUAUUUUGACUAGCGGAUUAUAUUAGCUGUUUCUUGUAAAACUGUUUGGUAAAUAGCUGAUUGAUCAGCUUUUUCUGACACAAACCAAAAUCUCUAACCUAAAAAGCUCCUUAAAGUAGCUUUUUCAAAAUUAGCUUUUUGGGUCCAAACCUCUAUUUCAAUCCGCUAACUACCAAACACUUAUAUUAGCGGAUUCUAGUGGUCAAAUCUCUAAACCACCCCAAACCUCUAAUUUUGCCCCAAACCUCUAACUUCCAAACAGGGCCUAUAUAUAUAUAUAAUAUAUAUAUAUAUAUAUAUAUAUAUAUAUAUAUAUAUAUAUAUAUGUAUAUAUAUAUAUUUAAAUGUUACUAAAUAUUGAUGAAGAAUAUUUAUGCAAGAUAUUUGAAACAUCAUAAUGACCCAUAAUAUUGGCACAUGAGACAAAAAAACAUCAAAAUAAAUCGUAAAUUAACAAAGUCUAAUGCCUAAACAUACUAAAUUAGAUCAAGAUAUAUUCCUAUCGAAAAAUAACCAAAUAAGGUAUAAUACAACCGUUUAAUGACAAAUAAAGGAAUAAGCUGAUUACUUCCACUUUUUAAAAAUAUUGCACAUAAAUAUACAUACAAAUAAUAUAAAAACAAAGUCAUAAUUAAAAAACCGAUAUUCAAAUCAUAACAAAUUAGUCAUCAAUAAAAACAUGCACCUAAAAACAUUUUAAAAUUAAAAACUUAUAAUAUAGUAGAUCAAACCAGACACUUAACAUACCCACACAAUCAAGAACGCCAAGAACUCAUAUCGAAAUCUAUAACAAACCUAAUUUCAAAUCAAUAUUCCGGCCGAGCAUAGCAAAUCCAACUAAGACAAAACAUUUCAAAAAAAUACCGGGAAAAAAGUUACAUAACUCGACCUGAUCUAAAAAGUAAUCCAAACAAAAUUACCAAGCCAGAUACAAAUCCAUGUUUUCGGUUACCUAAACAAUCUAUACAACCUUAAAAUUAGAAGAGGAAUGGGGUAAAUUGAUUACUAUGAUGCAAAUAUGCUAUCAUAAUAUAAACAAAACAAACAAAACAAUCAAACAAAAUACAUAAAAAACAUACAUCCAUGAUUGCAACAAGAUAAUCGAGAAAAAAACGUACCUUUUCAAAGGGAUGAGGAUAUCUUGAUUACAUAUAAAAUUGGCAGAAUAAACUUAUUGAAUCCAAAAAUAAAGUUCAUAAAAUCGCCAUCAACAAAAUCAUCUUUUUGAUCGAUCAAGAAUUUUUAUGUAAGAACAGUUGUUAGUUGCCUUGUUAUCGGAUUCUCAAUUUAUUUACCUGACACCAAAACCACAAAUAUGAUUUUUGAAACUUGACCACCUCCACUAAAGAUGAAUGAGUAGCGUCAAUGAACCCCUCGGUGUGUGACACUUUCACUACUAGAAAAGCGGGCAUUUCCGACCGACUUACCGACCAAACGCGAUCAGUCGUAAAAAAUUGCGUCAUUUACGACCGCCAUUACCGACCGCACCAAAUCGGUCGGUUAUAAUGGGCGUGGGUCCCGCUCACCACCGUUCCUUCAGCUGACAUGGACGCCACGUCGGUAAAACCGACCGACCCAUUUCCGACCGCCUGUGGUCAUUUCCGACCACCUUGACUAGUUUAAAAUAAUUGGUCAGCUUUUAACUUGUUGUCGACUUGUUAUUGGCUAAGUGGGGACGAGGUGGAGCCCAGAUUAUUUCCGACCGAUUUUGGCAGUCGAAAAUGGCCUUCUUCAUUUCCGACCGAAUUAAAACCCGGGCGGUCGGUUUUGACUUCUUAAAAAAACAAUAAAUUCUAUUCGACUAAGUAAACUAUUUAAAAAAAACUAAAAACAUUGUACAUCCGGAAAAUCGACCACAUUCAAUAUAUUUCCGACCAAACUCAUAAUUUUAACACAGAAAACCGACCAAAUUUAACUCAUUUCCGACCACAAACUCAAGUGCGGAAAACCGACCAUUUCGUUAUGUCAUUUCCGACUGAUUUACUACUAUGGCGGUCGGUUUUGAGACAAAAAAAAUUAUCCGGCUAAGUAAACUUAAAAAAAAAAUUUAAAAAAAUUGAAACUAGCUUUUAGUCAGUUAAUAAAUUAAUAGAAUAAUAUUCAUCAGUUAAUAUUUGAUUUUUAAAAUUUUUGUAUUUCUAUAACAAAAAAUAAAUACUGACUAACUGAUUUCAAAUUAAUUUUUCAAACAGCAGAAAAAUGUAGAAUCUUUGUGAUAUGGUCUAAUUUAAGGUACUAAUCAUGAUAGCAAAAGAAGAAAAAUAUAAAAAAAAUUAUAAAAACACUAUUCUGUUACGAAUCAUGCAUUGCAGUAAAUGUCGGAGUUCAGGAUUUGGAUUUUAUCAGAAGUUAUCCUAGGUUGUAUACUUUUGAAAUAUCAAUUUGUUUUUUAGGAGAUCCAACCGUACGGAUCGAAAUUAAGUAGUCAUAGUAGUUGUAUACCAAAAAUCAAAUCAAUAGGAUUUUAUCCGCUGAGAUAUUAUAACGAAAAUAUUAUGUUAUACUUAAAUAUAGACGUAGGGGUAACUUUUUAGAAAAUAAUAAAUUUGUUUUUUAGGCGAUCUAACCGUACGGAUCGUAAAUUAAGUACUCAUUGUAGUUAUAUACCAAAAAUCAAGUCAAUAGGAUUUAAUCUGUUGAGAUAUUAUAGCGAAAAUGUUAUGUUAUUCUUUAAUAUGGAUGUAGGGUUAUUUUUUUUUUUAAAAAUAAAUUUGUUUUUUAGGCGAUCCAACCUUACGGAUCGUAAAUUAAGUACUCAUCGUAGUUAUAUACCAAAAUUCAAGUCAAUAGAAUUUUAUUUUUUGACAUAUUAUAGCGAAAAUAUUAGGUUAUAGUACUUAAAUAUUGACGGAGGGUUAUUUUUUUUAAAAAAUAAAUAACUUAUUUAAAUAAUCCAACCGUACGGAUAUGAAUAUAAUUACUCAACUUAUAUUGGUCCUUAAAAUCAAUAGUUUUGAACAUUAGUUAAAGGAAUAUUAUAAUGAAAAAUUGAUUUUCUAGUUAUUUAAUUUUGUAAAAUAGAUGUAGGUUUAUAUUUAAGUUCCAUUAUUUUUAUAACAAUGUUGUAGCUGGUCAGGUGGUUGAACACUCCACGCAAUCAACGCCCUCUCCCAUCUCUCUCUCUUUGUACUAUGCUCAUUUUAGGGUUUCGUAUCUCUCUGUAUAUCAUCAGUUAGGGUUUUGAUUUUUUAUGGCUCAAAUUUGUUCAAAGAUGCUUUAAUCUGGUUUAUAUAUGUUUAUAUGUCCUUUAAUCCGGCUCUAUUUUAGUUGUCUUAGUUGUUUGAUCUGUUUUAUGAGAUUUUGUGUAAAUUAGUUUGUGUUUGUGUUUUUGUUUGGGUAAAGUAUAGCAAAUUAGCUUGUGUUUGUGUUUGUAAAAUGCCUAUGCAUGAAUUUUCUGGGUUUAUCCGUUAGGGUUUUGAUUUUCUUAUGCUCAGUGGUUUGGAUUUUCUGUCUUUGUGUUUGGUUAUUAAGUCUGGUUUAUUGUGCAAGCACCCCUGCAUAAGUCUGGUGUUAUUAAGUUUGUGAUUCCGUUAAAUGAUCAGAAAUGGUUGCGCGUUGUCUAGUACGUACAUUUUGAGUCCUUGCUAAAGUCACCAAUGUCAUUACACAAGCGACUGAGGUAACAUCAUUAAGAAGCAUCAGGCAUAUAAUGUUUAACAAACUGGCUUUACUCCUGUCUGCACUACCCAUCUAGCAGCAGAUUCAGUUAAAGAUUCAACGCUGACUCAAAAUCUUUAGACAAGAAUUCAAUCCUGCAAGUGGAAAACAAAAUCUAUAAACAUGACUUAAAAUAAACCAAAGCUCUCACUUCCCACUAAUUAAGUCUAGACCAUACAUUUUCGGAUAUUUAAUCCCACUUCUCUUACGUACCUUCUCAACUUGCAACCUGAAUUGGUGAGAAAGAGAAUGAUUUCUUUCUUUAUUAUUAUUUAUAUAUAUAUACUACUUUUCUAGGUGUUAACUCAGGUUACAAGGCCUGAGAUUAUUCGUAUAUCGUAAAUGAAAUUUUGUAUCAAAUUAGAUACAUUUUCCUGGUCUUAGAGACACAGAGUUAGCAUAAUCUUGGACUUGUUUUUUAUGUAAUUGGCUGGUUUUAGUUUGGAGCAUUUUAUAUAACAUGCUUGGAUGGUACUGUAUCCUCCAGCUUACGAUACUUUCAAGAGUUUCCUCCUUUUAAUGAGACAAAUGGCUAUGCCGCGCAAUACAUUCAGUAUAAGUUUCUUUGUUAAGAACUUAAGAUGCUUCUUACUUGACCCCUGUUUUUUUGUUCAUCAAUAUUAGAAUAAUGCUUAUUUCUGCAGGUUGCAUUUUUGUAGUUCCUAACCUUUUUAUCUAUAAAAAUCUAUGUUAUUUUUAAAGGUUCCAGUGCCUUGCUAAACCUUGAACUGUUGUCAUUCUGAUAAAUAUGUUUAUCAUUCUACUGACAUUAAUUUUACUUAGAAAAGUGAUAGCUCCUUCUUGUAUAAAGGAGGAAUGUUACAACUCACCAUGAGAAGGAUGCUGGCUCUUUCCAUGAUUGCAACGGUUACCAAAACAAGUUCUUAACAGUAAUAACUAUUAAACUUAUAUGUAAUAAUAGUAAAACAUUUACAGCCAGCGCCCUGUUAUUAUAUAUUCUUAACAUGGUGACAUGCUACUCUAGAUAGAAUUAAUAAUCUUCAGAUUAUUACUGCAGAAUCUCAAAAGUAUUUCAUCACUGUCAGUUUGCUACUCUAGAUAGAAUUAGUUGGCUAAGGCUUUCAGUCUCAAGGUGGCUAUCGCAUUAAUGGUUAUAGAAUAUAGAUGCAUCAACUGUAGAGCUAGUGUGCCACGGUUUGGUAAAUGAGCAGGCACAGAUUCCGGUGCCUUUCCGACAUCUAUAUUAAGUAUCUAUAUUGAUUAUUAAGUAUCUAUAUUGUCACAUCAACGAUGUGCCAGAAGUUAGAACGACUUUAAAAUAGAGGGAGUAUAGCUUCAAAAUUUUGUUAGGGGCGACAUGCUGAUAUUUAAAGCCUUGUUUAAUCACAGGGAUGCUGCCCAAGUGGCUCUGCGCUGGAAUGUAGCUUUGCUUGAUAAGUUUCCCAUUCAUGAUAGGAGAAAAUACUAGAUUCUGGUUUGUGCAAUAAGUUGUGAUAACUUGUGGGGAACCUGAUAAGAGAAUAUGGUGAAACCUGAUAAGAGAAUAUGGUGAAACUUGAUUGUUGUAUACUUGUAUCUCUUGCACAGUGGCAUUUAUCUGUUGCUAUGAAUUUCUGUUAUUAAUAAGUGAAUUUCCCGUGUCCUUCAAAUAUUUGCCCAAAUUAUUUUAAUUUUGUUGAUUAUAUAUUCCGUGUUAAGAUAAAUAAUAUUUGAUUUGGAGCAAGUCAAUUUGAUUAAUAUGUAUUUUCUGCAUUCACAUAAUGGUACUACUGUUGAUUCUGAAAUCAUUUAAUUAAAUCACAAGUGAAAUUAGUGAAUUUUUCUUAACUCUUAGGACAGCCGGGAUAAUUAUGUUAUUACUUACUAUACUUGAUAGUUGUCUUGUGAAAAUCUGUGAUACUAAUGAAACUAACAUAUAUGUCAUUGGCUAAGUUGACUAACUAUAUAUAUCAUUGUUCAUGUAUAGGCUAUGGUGCCAAAAAAAGACAAAGGUAAAAAGAAAAUGGCUAUUUCUCAAGGUAGUACGACUCGUGGUAAGAAACGCCGCAAUUCUACAACUCAAGCUGAAAGUCAGACUCCAUUUGUUCGCUUGAUCCGCAGGCCCAGAACUGCUUCGAUGGGAAGGUUUGGGGAAGAGCUGCCGAGAAAACCUACCCGUAUUGACAUUCAUGGCGGGCGGUAAUUUCACUUAAUCAUUUCAUUUGUAUCUAGUUAGAGUUAUACUUGCUUUCUAUUGUAUUAUUUUUGGAUUUCGUCUUAAGAUUUCUUUAUCAUUAAUUGUAUAGUAUCUUUGGUGACGAAGCAAAAAAGACUUUGCUUGCAAUACUUCGUGAUCACUGGCCUGUUGGAUCGUACACCUAUACUGAUAUUAUGGCAAAAAACCCGGAUUGGAUGGACGAUGUUGUAACUGUGUUUAAGGUAUAUGUAUAUAUGUACCUUAAUUUUCUACUCUUUACAUCCUAUAUAUAUAUAUGUGUGUGUGUGCGUAUAUUCCUUGUAUGUGUGUGUGUAUAUAUAUAUAUAUAUAAUUGACAUGUUCUUUAUCUCUCUUCAGCACUUCUACAAAAAUUUGAGGGGACAGAGUCGAACUGAGGCCACUUGGAGUAUCAAGGAGCAUGCGAAGAGAACAUGUAAGAAAAUGAUGAAUGAGGAGAAGCGGCGUUUUGUGAAAAAAAAGAAGGAAACUGGGAGGUCAGCAAAAGAGCUGAGGCCGAAGUAUUUUCAAGCCCCUCUAUGGGAAAACUUGUUGAAGUACUGGGAUAGUGAAGGUCACAGGCAUCGGUCCGAGGUUGGAGCAAAGAAUUGAGAAAAAGUGGAGACCUUGCACACUGCAGGUGCAAAAUCAUUUGAAGUUGUCGAAAUGGUAAUUCAAAACUUAUUAAAUGUAGAAUUUUACAAGUAAUCAAGUGCAGUUUUAUUUCUUAAUGAAUUAAUAUUAAUGCUACAUAUGCUUAAUUAAUUGACUAAUAAAUCAAAAAUGUUGGAUCAAAUGUGGUUGAUUUUAUUCCCUUAAUUUGUUGUUAGGAAAUGAUGGCAGAGAAAAAAGGGAAGAAACCGAAACGCCUCGAGUUGUGGGAAAGGACACACACAACUAAAGCUUCGAGGAAGGCGAGGGAGGAAAGCAAGGGAAAGAAAUGCCCACCUUUAGUGUAUACUACACCAGGGGCAAUGGAAAUAGCGGUUAGUAUAUAUUUUAAAUUUAGUUUACAUUUUAAACACUAAUUUUUUUUACGAACGUCAACUAGAUAGUAAUGGUAUAUUUGAAAUAAAAAAAGACUUUACUAAUUAAAAAGAAUAACCUUGAUCAUAUAUAUCUAGUUAUAAGAUUGCUUAAUUUGUGUGUGUGUAUAUAUAUAUAUAUAUAUAUAUAUAUAUAUAUGAAUACGUAAUUAUCUUUACUUUUUUUUUUCUUGUAGUGCUUUUUAUAACAAAGAAUAAUGAGAAAACAACAUUUGGGUUCUGGUCAUCUAGCAUGGACUAGAAUUGGGAGAAUAUAUCCAAAUCCAUCAUCUUUGUAUGAGUUUUAAAAUCAUAUAUUAUUUUGAAUAAAUUAUUAGUGUAAUUUAAUUUUGAAUAUAUCAUCCUAAAAACUUGUAAUAUGUAAGUUUCCCUAGUCUUUAUUGAUCUUAAUGUAGUUAGAUCUCAUUAUUGCAUCUUACGUGUUCUCUUUGCUCAUAUGAGCUUAUGUAUCAUUAGUGUCAAUGUAUUUGAACUCAUUUUUGUAGGUUAUGUAUUACAAUGCUGAUGUGAACUUAUUUAUUAUUUUAAUUCACACGAGUCAACAUGUUUGACUUUCCCUUUUAUUUAUUUUACCACGCUCCUCUAAUUUGUCUUUUUAAGUUUAUAUGACGUCAGUGCUGCUAAUUACCUAAAGUGCUAAUUACCUAAAAAUUAUGGGUGGUAAUGCUCGGAUUUCCAAUGAUAUAAUUUAAAUGCAUUCAAAAAUUUGUACAAUUUUAUGUAGAUAGUGUAUUUACGUCUUAUAGGUAUUUUGAAAUCCUAAUUAUUGAAGAAAUUUUAAGGAUAGUGUUUCUACCUUAUACACAUUUGUGUAAUUUUAAGGAUAAAGAUGGCCACAUAAUUGAUUGUUUAGUAUACUUUUCAAAUGAAAUUAUUAUGUUCACACAAUUUAGAAUUGUAGUUCUUACUUUUUAUAUAUUUUUAAGUGGCCUUAUUACAUAUUGCAUAUUAGAGUCAAAAACAUGAACUAAGUGUGCACACUUUCCUCUUUUGUUAUUUAGUUCCUCAUUUAAAUAUUUAUUUUAAGGAUAGUGUUUCUACCUUAUACACAUUUGUGUAAUUUUAAGGAUAAAGAUGGCCACAUAAUUGAUUGUUUAGUAUACUUUUCAAAUGAAAUUAUUAUGUUCACACAAUUUAGAAUUGUAGUUCUUACUUUUUAUAUAUUUUUAAGUGGCCUUAUUACAUAUUGCAUAUUAGAGUCAAAAACAUGAACUAAGUGUGCACACUUUCCUCUUUUGUUAUUUAGUUCCUCAUUUAAAUAUUUGUCUUAUCUGAGCGUAUUUCUUUUUAAAGUCUCCCCUAAUUGUUCAUCAUUUAUUACUGGUGUAUGUUAUGAAUAACUUACAUUUGAUCUUAAAAGUUUAUUUUUCGUUAUGUAUAUCACAAUUUUAAUUAGACAUUAAUUUAUUGAUGUAGCGAUGAAUUUUUAUGUCAUUCUAUAAAUACAUGGUACAUGAGUUAGAGCUACUUGAACUCUUUUCGAUAUGAGGUUGCUAAUCAAAUUCUUAAGCUUGUUCCAAAUAUGGAGGUGGUUAUAGGUAUUCAUCUAAAUCUCAACAUUAAUAUUUCAUCAAUUUCUUUGACUUAAAUUUUGAUUGAUGUUAAAUGGAUAACUUUUAAACAAUCCUUGGUAAUCCUUGCGAGAUAUCAACAUUACCGAAUGUCAUAAUGGAUAUAUCUCAAUUUGGAAAAAAAGAUGUCAUAGGUAAAACAUAUAUGGAAAAUUAUCACAAUGGUACCCUAAGAAUCAUUUUUCACAAAUAAGCUUUUAUAUUUUAUCUACAACUAUCGAUCUAUUUUCUUUUCAGGAAAUUUAUUACAAUGCUACUCAAUAGGAUUAUUUAUGAAAAUUUUGUUCAUUCUUUGAGGCACGCAAAUGCUUUCGCGGCACGCAAAUGUUGUCAAUGUGCAUAUUAUUAUAAUUGCUUCAUAUGGUGAUGUCUCUCAUUAAUUGGUUGCCCAAAAACAAUAUUGAAGCAACAUAGGUUUAGUUUGUGAUAUUCUGUUUUGUGUAUGUAAAUCACUUACUAUAUACCGGUCAUUCUUGGAUGUAUCUUGUAUUUACAUGUAAACUUUUGUAGUAAGAAUGUUAUCAUGGCUCAAUUAUUCAUUAUUUCAUUUAUUUCCUAGUGGAAUAUUGUAGAUACUAUGUGGUCAGUGUCAUUUUUAUGCUAAUAUUUAAAUACAAAAUUAAAAUCAUGUUUACAAUAUGAAUAUCACAUUAGGCUAUAGUAGAAAAUAAUUGAAUGACAUAUACAACAUGUGAGCUACUUGCAUAAGAUAUCGAUUAAAAGACCGGUUUCAUUUGGAACAUACUAGCCAAUUUAUUUCAAUAAGUGAACGCAGCUUGAUGGGACAGCCAACUAUAGAGUUGGAAACAUUACUCAUCAUUCUUUUUAUAUUAUUUAGGUUAUCUUUUAUAUAUACUGGAGGUACCUUAAAUGAAUUUUCACAUAUAUAAGGUAUUAUUUUUACCUAAAAGAGAUUAUAAUUUUUUUUAUAUUUCUCUUUAAAUUUCCAAUCAUGGUAUUGUUUCUACCUAAAAGAGAUUAUAAUUUUUAUAUAUUUCUCUUUCGAAGUUCCAAUCAUUAAACAUUUGAUAAAUAAGGGAACAUCUAUUGACAUGUAACACCUCAGUUCCACAUGGAAGAGUGUGGAGAUUUGAUUUUAGUUGAGUUUAUAAGCAUAAGCACCUCUGGACUCUUGCCAUUGUGGGAUAGUACCACCAGCCUUCGUGUCUCCACCUCUGGUAACAUGACGAAUCAAGCUUUCAUCAAGUAUUGGGUUUUAUCAUAUAUCAUUCCUCUCCAAUGUAAUUAAUAAUUCAUACAAUGUUUGUGGUUGUGGUUGCUUUUGUUGUGAGUACUCAUUUUGCUCAAACAGUUUUAAUCAUAUGACUUUAUGCAUAUUCUUUCUUUAUUCAACUCAUUUUUAUAAUUGACCUUUUCGUUACAUAUUAAGACAAGAUAUUAAUCUUAUGUAGUCUAUUUUGAAUGUCAUAAAGGACCGAAUUGAAUUUGAGAGAAAGAUAUGUGAGGUAAAACGUUGAUAGAAAAAUAUCACAAUGGCAUUCUCUUGCCCCAUUCACCCAAAAUAAGCUUCUUUUCUUAUUUAAUAUGGUAGCCUUUGCUUUUUCCACCGGUAAAUUGAGCUCAGGACUCGUCAUUGGGAUUCUUUAUUCGAAAUCUUGCCAUUCUUUAAGGCAUAUACCAAUGCAAUCUGCAAAUUAAUGUUUUUGUCUCAGAUGAGGAAGAUCUGUGAGCUUGGAAAGGUUGUGUGGAUCUCAUAUUAGGCAACUUAAUUUGAAGGUUAAUAUUUUACUUUAUUUACCUAAAUAGGUGUUGUUUCCAGCUCAGAUGUUUCUUUUCUUUCCUUUCAUUGUGUUCUUUUAUUUAUAUGGUAUGGCGUCCGGUCAAAAAUAAAGAAAAAAAAUAUGACACAAUUCAAAUUAAGCUCAUUUGUACUUCUCAUGAAUCAUCUCUAUAUAAUAUAAUCAAUAAUGUAGUCAUUUGUCUCUAGACUUAUGUGUGAAAUCAUGGAUAAAUAUGUGCAACACUUGCUAAACGAACAUAUCAAUACUUUAUAAUAUUUUUAAAGCAAUUGUGAGCUACAAUACAUCAUAAUAAAAGUUAUUUGUGGGAUAUAAAUUUAAUACAUUCUCGAUUGUACUUCCUUUGUGUUCCUCUUGAAAGGUAUAAAAAUCCUGGUACUACAAGACAAUAUAAUAUUGUGUAAUCUUGAUUAUUUUUAAAUCAUUAUGGCAUACUAUAUUACUAGCUACCUAAUAUGAUAUAAGGUUUGUUUACACACACACACACAUAUGCACAUAUUCAUAUACAUACAUACAUACAUAUAUAUAUAUAUAUAUAUAUAUAUAUAUAUAUAUAUAUAUAUAUAUAAAAAGGUAUUAGAGAACUAUUUAAAUUAGAAAUACUUAUAAGUAUUUUAAUUUAAAUGAUUUUUAUUUGUUAUUUUGUUAUCUAUAUGGAAAUAUGGUGACUCUAAAGACUAUUGGUACCCAUAUUUUAGAUAUACAUUGAAAUUAGAAUAGUUACAUGUGUUGAUUCAUUAUUAAAUUACUUAAUAAUCAUUGAUAUAAGUAGGAUACAUAAUCAAAAUACCCGAUCACAACUUGAUAGCUUGGGACACAACUUAGUAGCCUUGAUUUUUAACUAUUAUUAGGUGCACAUACUUUCUUAGGGCCUAACACCCUGUCUAGCCCAGUAAACUAUAAUAUAUAUGCCUUCAAACCCUAAUAGUCAUCCAUUAUACCAUUUCUGUUGUAAAUAUCUCCCACAAAACUAGAUAGAGUCGCCCAUCCAGAUCUCUCCUUUUAUACUGUCCUUCCCUAUCAUUUCUUUUCUUGGGGGUUGUGAAUAUUGUUCAUAUGUUAGAAUGCCAGGUAUAUCCUUGUAAAUUAUCAUUUCUACCCACAAACCUAUGCAUAAUCUCUCAUCUCUAUGAUUAGUUUUAGAUUAGGGUCAUUUUUUGUUUAUUUAGGACUUUUAUGAUGUUUACAUAUUAAAACUAUGUUGGUGAAUGUUGAUUUAGUCAUUAUAAUUAUAAAUUGAUGAUUAAUCAUGGAAUAUAAUUAUAUUAAUUUCAAGCAAUUUUCCAGGAAUUGAAGUUUGCUGAACAAUGAAGAAAAUACUUCAAAACUAGGGGUAAGAAUGUCAGAUUAUUGAAUUAUAGUACAAUCUUGAAAAAUUAAUUUUUUCAUGUACUUUUUUGCUAAUACUAUUUGGUUAUUUCAGGGUUUUUUUUUGUGUAUACAAUUGUUUACCAAGUACAGUGAAGCCAGAAGUACCCACUAUAACAUAAAAAACACAGGCAAAAAGUUCUGCUCUCCUGCUGCCAAGAAGGCCGAUGCUGUUGACGUGGAGGCGUGAGAGUCGUUGGAUGUGAUAUGUUCUGCUAGUUUUUACUGUUUUAGUUUAAUGUGGUUAAUGGGAUGCAGGUCUAGGCUGUAAUAGUCUAGUCGUAAAAGUUCAGUAUUUUGGGUGCUUAGAUGGAUGGUUAAAUUUGAACUUGAUAGACAGCUGGGUGGUUUGUGCUUUUGCUAUAAAUUUUAACAGACUUAGGUACUUUCAUCUUUACUCUUAACGUCAGUCUUAUACUAUAUUUGCUUUAUUAUUGUUCCAUGCAAUUUCUUGAAACUUAUUGGGCUUGUGAAAUGGUACGCCGGGAAGGAUUUUGAUUGUCUUAUGUGCAGGUGGUGGUGUAACUGAAGCAACCCAGGUCAAAUCCCGAGUUUUUUUCCGAAAAUCGGGUCAAGUCCCGAAAUCCGAAUCCGAAAAUAAGCCAAAUAUACUGGCCCAAUUGCAGCAACUUGGGUAAUCCACAAGCCCACCACAGGCCCCCAAAAGAUCAUGAUUUGUUGGUGCAAUUGGUAGUAGUACUUAUGCUUAUAAACUGAACUAAAGUCUCCACACUCCUCGAUGUGGGACUGGGGUGUUACAAACUCCCCCACUUAAAUUCCUGACGUCCUCGUCAGGCCGAAACGGAUAGCCCAUAGGCCCAGAUCGAACCUCUCUAACCAUUGUGGGAUAAUACCGGCUGGCUUCGUGUCCCCGCCUCCGGAUCUCUGUCCAUUGCGGGAUAAUACCACCAGCCUUCGUGUCCCCACCUCCGGCAACUUGACGAAUCAAGCUUUCGAGAACCUCGCUCUGAUACCAUAUGUGACAACCCGAGUCAAAUCCCGAGUCUUUUUCGAAAAUCGGGUCAAGUCCCGAACUCCGAAUCCGAAAAUAAGCCAAAUAUAUUGGCCCAACUGCAACAACUUGGGUAAUCCACAAGCCCACCACAGGCCCCCAAAAGAUCAUGAUUUGUUGGUGCAAUUGGUAGUAGUACUUAUGCUUAUAAACUGAACUAAAGUCUCCACACUCCUCGAUGUGGGACUGGGGUGUUACAGUAACAACCCUCGCCCUCCGGACUUGACUUUGGUUUAAAACUAGCGUUGCUCGUGAGAGUAUGCUAAUGCGUGUGGGACUGUGGGAGUAGGGGUAAUUUUGAGGAUAGAUUUGUAUAUUGCUUGAGUGUUUAAAUGGGAUUAUUUGUAUAUUGCAUGAGUUUUUAAUCUGUGCUUGGAACAGAAUUUGGAUGAUCAUGGAAAGGGUUAAUAGGCUAAAUCAUAAUCAAACUGACCUCUAAGUUGCAAUUUCAUAACUGAACUCAAAAAGUUUGCAAUCGACUAAUUAAACUAAUAUUUAUUUUAAUUUACACGAGUCAACAUGUUUAACUUUCCCUUUUAUUUAUUUUACCAGGCAUAUUGGCCCAACUGCAACAACUUGGGUAAUCCACAAGCCCACCACAGGCCCCCAAAAGAUCAUGAUUUGUUGGUGCAAUUGGUAGUAGUACUUAUGCUUAUAAACUGAACUAAAGUCUCCACACUCCUCGAUGUGGGACUGGGGUGUUACAGUAACAACCCUCGCCCUCCGGACUUGACUUUGGUUUAAAACUAGCGUUGCUCGUGAGAGUAUGCUAAUGCGUGUGGGACUGUGGGAGUAGGGGUAAUUUUGAGGAUAGAUUUGUAUAUUGCUUGAGUGUUUAAAUGGGAUUAUUUGUAUAUUGCAUGAGUUUUUAAUCUGUGCUUGGAACAGAAUUUGGAUGAUCAUGGAAAGGGUUAAUAGGCUAAAUCAUAAUCAAACUGACCUCUAAGUUGCAAUUUCAUAACUGAACUCAAAAAGUUUGCAAUCGACUAAUUAAACUAAUAUUUAUUUUAAUUUACACGAGUCAACAUGUUUAACUUUCCCUUUUAUUUAUUUUACCAGGCUCCUGUAAUUUGUCUUUUUAAGUUUAUAUGGUUGGUGCUCCUAAUUACCUAAACAUUAUGGGUGGCAAUGCUCGGAUUUACAAUGAUAUAAUUUAAAUUCAUUUAAAGAAUUUGUAUAAUUUUAUGUAGAUAGCAUAUUUACGUCCUUUAGGUAAUUUGAAAUCAUAAUUAUUGAAGAAAUUUUAGACUGUUAUUUAUAACUUAGUGUUUCUACCUUAUAAAUAUUAGUGUAAUUGUAAGGAUAGUGUUUCUACCUUAUACACAUUAGUGUAAUUUUAAGAAUAAAGAUGGCCACAUAAUUGAUUGUUUAGUAUACUUUUCAAAUGAAAUAUAAUGUUCACAUAAAUUUAGAAUUAUAGUUCUUACUUUUUAUAUAUUAUUAAGUGGCCUACUUGAACUCUUUUGGAUACGAGGCUGCUAAUCAAAUUCUUAAGCUUGUUCCAAAUAUGGAGGUGGUUAUAGGUAUUCAUCUAAAUCUCAACAUUAAUAUUUCAUCAAUUUCUUUGACUUAAAUUUUGUUUGAUGUUAAAUGUAGAACUUUUAAACAAUCCUUGCUAAUCCUUUGGAGAUAUCUACAUAUACCGAAUGUCAUAAUGGACAUAUCUCAAUUUCGAAAAAAGAUGUCAUAGGUAAAACAUUUAUGGAAAAUUAUCACAAUGGUACCCUAAUGAUCGUUUUUCACAAAUAAGCUUUUAUAUGUUAUUUACUACUAUCGAUCUAUUUUCUUCCCAGGAAAUUUAUUACAAUGCUACUCAAUAGGAUUACUUAUGAGAAUUUUGUUCAUUCUUUAAGGCACACAAAUGCUUUUGCGGCACGCAAAUAUUAUCAAUGUGCAAUUGUGCAUAUUAUUAUAAUUGCUUCAUAUGAUGAUGUCUCAUUAAUUGGUUGCCCAAAAACAAUAUUGAAGCAACAUAGGUUUAAUUUGUGAUAUUCUGUUUUGUGUAUGUAAAUCACUUAGUAUAUACCGGUCAUUCUUGGAUGUAUCUUUUAUUUACAUGUAAACUUUUGGAGUAAGAAUGUUAUCAUGGAUCAAUUAUUCAUUAUUUCAUUUAUUUCCUAGUGGAAUAUUGUAGAUACUAUGUGGUCAGUGUCAUUUUUAUGCUAAUAUUUAAAUGCAAAUUUAAAAUCAUGUGUACAUUAUGAAUAUCACAUUAGGCUAUAGUGGAAAAUAAUUGAAUGACAUAUACAACAUGUGAGCUACUUGCAUAAGAUAGCUAUCAAAGACGGGUUUUAUUUGGAACAUACUAGCCGAUUUAUUUCAAUAAGUGAAUGCAACUUGAUGGGACAAUUAACUAUAGAGUUCGGAACAUUAUUAAGCUAGAGACGUGAUCUUAAAAUAAGUAUAUUACCUUUUGCAUUAGUUAUAAUUUUGACUUUUUAAGUCCUCGAUGUGAAAUUUUUAACAAGAUUUGUUAUUCUAGUAAGUUGGAUGAUUAAAUGUGUUAUACUCAUUAUUCAAUUUAUAUUAGGUUAAUUGAGUACAUUACUAAAUUAGUAAAUUGAGGUCAGAACUCUGUCAUUGGGAUUCUUUAUUCAAAAUCUUGCCAUUCUUUGAAGCAUAUACCAAUGUAAUCUGCAAAUUAAUGUUUUUGUCUCAGAUGAGGAAGAUGUGUGAGCUUGGAAAGGUUGUGUGAAAUCUAAGCUUAGGCAACUUACUUUGAAGGUUAAUAUUUUACUUUAUACCAAGGUUGUGUGAACAUUAAUUUGAACCCUAGUUACAAAUGUGUUGAAUGCACGAUUUAUCUAUUCGUUAUUUUUAAAAAUUGUGAUGUUUAUUCAAGAAUUUUUCAGCAUAGAUAAUUUCUAUAACUAAGGAUUAAUACGAUAGAAGAAUAAAAAAAUUCAAAAAAAAAGUUUGUAAGUUUGUAACUUUAAAAAGUUUUUAUUUGAUACUAUCUCUAUACAUACAUACAUACAUACUCACACACACAUAUAUAUAUAUAUAUAGUCUUACUCAAAUGAGAACCACUCUUAUGAUGAGAUAUGAGAUCUGAUCCCAGCCACUCAUUUAAAUACAUUAUAUUCAUCUCUCACCAUUCAUUUAAUAUUUUAAUAUUUCACCGUAUUCCAAUUAACUGCCUAUCACCUUCAACCACCGCUGACCACCACCACCACCUCCGGCGAACACCAGAAAAUCACUACCGGCAAACAUUAAAUCACCACCGAAAAGAUAAAAAUCACCACCAGAAAGCUAAAAAUCACCGCCAGAAAAUCAAAAAUCAACCCCUGAAAAUUAAAAUCACCACACCUCCACCAUCUACAAACCACCACCACCACCCAAAAAAUCCGAAAAAUCACCAACUACAAAACAAAAUCACCGUCGGAAAAUCAAAAAACACCAUCAAAAAACGAAAAUCACCAAAUCCAACCAAUCUUUUCAAUGACUAGUUAUGGUGACAAGCAUUAACCAACAUAAACGAUUUGCUCUAGAUCUGAGCGCACAAAAACAGAAGCACGAAUCUGGUGUUCGUACCGAACGCGGCGACGACAUCGGGGCCAUAUCGAGAGGACGUUGGCGGCGAAGAGAUAAGACGGAGUUGAUCAGGUGGUCGGUGGCGGCGAUUCAUCGCUGGACCAGAGUGAUUCAAGUGUGUAUCAGAGGUCUCGCCGGGGCGAGCAAGCAACAGCAGCCACAGGGGGAGGUGGGAAAGUGAUGAAGAGCGAGAGAGGGAUGAAAUGAGGAAGGGAGAGAGAUGAACAGAUUUGGGGUUCGGCAGUGACGCAAGUGGGUGGUGGGUGGAGAGGUGGGUGGGGUGGGAGGUAAAUGAAAAACAUAAAUUAUAAAAAUAAAUGUUUAAAUGUGUGGUUGUGAUUUAAUUUGGGGAUAAAGAUGUGUGAUUGAAAUUAGAUCUCAUAUUUCACAUUAGUUGGGUUCUCAUUUGAGCAAGAGCAUAUAUAUAUAUAUAUAUAUAUAUAUAUAUAUAUAUAUAUAUAUAUAUAUANAAGCUAUUAGAGAACUAUUUAAAUUAGAAUACUUAUAUGUAUUUUAAUUUAAAUAAUUUUUGUUAUUUUGUUAUCUAUAUGAAAAUAUGGCGACUUUAAAAAGUAUUGGUACACAAAUUUUAGAUAUACAUUGAAAUUAAAAUAGUUACAUGUGUUAAUUUAUUAUUAAAUUACUUAGUCAUAUAUCAUUGAUUUAUACAAGUAUGAUACAUAAUCAAAAUACCCCCGUCACAACUUGCCAGCUUGGGACACAACUUCAUAGCUAGCCUUGAUUUUGAAUUAUUAUUAGGUGCCCAUAGUUUCUUAGGGCCCAACACCCUGUAGAGCCCAAUAAACUAUAAUAUUUAGUUCUUCAAACCCUAAUAGUCAUCCAUUGUGCCAUUUCUCUUGUAAAUAUCUCCCACAAAACUAGAUCUAGCCGCCCAUCCAGGUCUCUCCAUCUGUACUGUCCUUCCCUAUCCUUUCUUUUCUCGGGGGUUGUGAAUAUUGUUCAUAUGUUAGAAUACCAGGUAUAUCCUUGUAAAUUAUCAUUUCAAAAUCUCUCAUCUCUAUGAUUGAUUUUAGAUUAGGGUCGUUUUUUGUUUGUGAUGUUUAAAUAUAAACACUAUGUUGGUGAAUGUUGAUUUAGUCAUUACAAUUAUAAAUUGAUAAUUAAUCAUGAAAUAUAAUCAUAUUAAUUUCAAGCAAUUUUCCAGGAAUUGAAGUUUGCUAAACAAUGAAGAAAAUGCUUCAAAAAUAGGGGUAAGAAUGUCAGAUUAUUGAAUUAUACUAAAAUCUUAAAAAAUAAAAUUUUUCACUGUACUUUUAUGCUAUAUACUGUUUGGUUAUUUCAGGGAUUUUUAUGGGAACAAGUUCUGCUCUCCUGCUGCCAAGAAGGCCGAUGCUGUUGACGUGGAGGCGUGAGAGUCGUUGGAUGUGAUCUGUUCUGCUAGUUUAUACUGUUUUAGUUUAAUGUGGUUAAUGGGAUGCAGGUCUAGGCUGUAGUAGUCUAGUCGUAAAAGUUCAGUAUUUUGGGUGUUUAGAUGGAUGGUUAAAUUUGAACUUGAUAGACAGCUGGGUGGUUUGUGCUUUUGCUAUAAAUUUUAACAGACUUAGGUACUUUCAUCUUUAUUCUUACUGUCAGUCUUAUACUAUAUUUGCUAUAAAUUGUUUGAAGCCUAUUGGGCUUGUGAAAUGGUACGCCAUGAAGGAUUUUGAUUGUCAAGUUUCACCCAGGACCAUAUUUGAAAAAGGCCCGGGUGAUCAUUUUGGGUGCACCUUUAAUGUGUAUUAAUGAUCAAGCAUAUAACAAAUAAAUAUUAAUUCUGUGCGUAUAUAUAUACCUACAUGAACACAUUCAAUAUUCGACAGAAAUUGACAUUGAUUUUCCUAAAAAUGCGACUGUGGAAUAUCGUGUCACUGUGCUACUGAGAGUAACAUCUAAGAUUUUAAUGACAGAAGAAAAUCUUCAAGCUCCUUAUAUAUUUCUUGCAGUGGAAUCCUGGGGGAUUCAUCGGUGAUGCUGCAUAUUCAUGUGAUGGUCAGUCCAUAUAUGCCUGCUUUCUUAACACGCAGAUUGUUUUCAUGGACUCGGCAUCAUUUUCCAUAAACUUUGUUAUCAACCCGACUGCAUAUUUACUUUUAAGCAAUACCACCCUCUUGACGGGAAGUUGCCUUCUAUAUUAUAUCUACAGCCUACAAAACACAAUCAGUUUGCUCUCGGGCUUAGUGAUGGUGGCGUACUUGUCAAAGAAUUUGAGGCUGAGGAUAUUGGAAAUGGCUAUGUUGCAUGCCUUAGCUUGAGACCAGCAACAUAUGAAAACUUGAUAUGAGCUUUUGUGGUAAUCAGAGCCCGGUGUCUCUUAAAAUCUAAAUGUUUUAGCACAUACAUGUAAAGAUUGGAUUAGUGCAAGGUUUUAAAGAUGUUUUUUUUUGCUUGACCAUGUUAACUGAUAAAUUUUCAAUGAGAAUAUAUAUAUAUAGAGUUGGGCUCCUUAAAAAACCCACAUUUAUUAGAGUCCUUGGAGUCCCCACUAAUCACCAUUAGAUCAUAUUUUAAUCCUACGGUUCAUAGAGAAGAUGGGGUUAUUAUUUUUUUAAAACAAAAAUUGUAUGAUUUUCCAAAACAAGCGUCUUAUCUCCACUGCUAAUAACAAGGAGGGUUGCUGGGCAGUUAUAAUUUUCAAAUUAAUUGUGAUAGCUGAUAUCGUGCAACUUAUUUGAUCUUGCAACACAGAGAUCUUCUCGACAUUAUACAGGAGAACAGUUUCGCUAGAUGAUACUAGGGUUUAACUUCUAUUUGGCAAAGAAAUUACUCGAGCAGGACAUCAUCAGUAAUGAGCGAAGGCAUGCCAUCAUCUUGAAUUGCCGGAUAAAAUCCUUUUUUGUGUGUGUAUGUGAUGUCUACAGUUAUCUCUUAAUUUGAAUUAGAACUGGAAAAUGGAAGUUAUGGAUGCAGGAUAUUUGGGACAUAUUGUACUGCACAUCUGUGAUUGAGAAUUUUUUGCAUAAAUUACUACAGGAUAAGCAUUUAUUAAAAAUAAACCACAUUAGAGGCUAAUAUGCAUAGUGUAGUGUGCAAUGAUUCCUGAGUGCGGGACAUUUUUUGAGUGAGAAAAAGGACAUUUGGGAUUGUGAAUAUUUUUCAUAAAUAACUGCAGGACAAGCUCUGUGAUUGAGAAUAUAGGGUACAUUUGAUCAGUAUGCAAAAAAGAAAUGUGUUGCAAGAAUGUGAAUACAAUAACUAUAGAUGUAAAAUAUAUUUCCAUCUUUCUCGUCGUUUGCCAUACUAUGUUAUGCAUACAAUUCUUAUGUUGUUGGUUUCUGCAAAAACCAAAAAAAAAAACAAAGAAGAACGGAGUGACAUUACAAGUGCAGAACAUCCAUAAUGAAUAUUGUAUCUCCACAAACAAUGUAACUGCUCCUUAAUUACGUUGAAGAUGUGUAUACCGGGUCAAACACACACAACACAUGCUCAUUUCAACAUUAAUAUUAAAAUAAAAUUCAAAAUAAAAGAUAGCCUUUGGAUGAAGAUGAAAUGUAUGGUCAAGAUUGAGACUCCGGGAACUCCAAAAGACAUGGGACUCCAUAUAACUUUCUUAUAUAUAUAUAUAUAUAUAUAUAUAUAUAUGUUCCAAUGUCUACUCCCUCCGUCCCUUUUUAUGUGUCUAUUUUGGAAAAAAAAACACAUAACAAGGAAUAAUUGAUUGUAUAAACUUUUUCAUUAAAUACCCCUAAUUAAUAUCUUGAAAAUGGUGGAAUACCCGCUAAUUAGUACUAGAAGGGUAGUAUAUGUAAACUAGAGAUAUAAAUUAUGUAUACAUACAACACAUUAAUUCAAUUGAUUUAUUUCCAUGUACAAAAGGAUUGCAUUAAAUACUGUGUACACAUUUAAUGCUAGACUUUAUAUUUUUCCAUAUUCAACUUGUUUCAAUAAAUUGAUUAUACAAAUUCUAGUUAUAUCGAUUAAAUUGCACAAUAUUUUAUUUUAUUAGUUUCCAUAUAUACCUCUUAAUUAAUGACUUAUUCUGAAUCUUCACAACCAAAUUCAGCUACAUAAUAAUUGACAAUCAAAUUUUGAGCCACCGUUUAAAAUUCUACUAUAUUUCAAGGACUUCUCAUAAAUUUAUUAAUUUAGACCUAGUAGUAUUUCAUUUUAGAUCAACUACCCGAUUAUCGAACUACCCGAUUUUGGAACAACUACUCACUCGAUUUUGGAGAUUCCACAACGUGUACGUGAAAAGUGAUAAGAAUAAUUAUAUUUUAAUAUUAAAAUUAAAAUUUUAAAAUUACAACAAUAUCAAUAAAGUUCUACUUAUAAUAUCCGCAAAAUUUUUUGUAUUUAUUACUAUUAUGAUUUAAAGAAGAACAUGUCAUUCUUUCGUUAUCGUUAUAGUAUAUUUUACCUACUGGCCAUUUGUUAAAUCUGAACCGUUAUAUCUGGAUGAGUUGAAUUUCUGAAUGAUUGAUUAAUCUGAAUGAGAAUGAAUGCUUUUGUUUGUCUUUUUUUUCUAAUUUAUAAUUUGAAUGACUAGUUUAUAGCAUAAAUUAUUAUUAAAUAUAUUAUUUUAUUAAAUAAUUGUUACUAUUAUGUAUUUUAUAUUUUUUAAAUAAUUUUAAAAUAUAAUAUAAUAUGAUUGUUGAAAAUUUUGAAUGUAUUUUUAUUUUUAAAAUUUAUAUUAUAAAAUUAAUUUAUUAUAAUAUUGAUGGGAAAAUAAAACUUACAUCGUAUAAUGAAAUUUUCUUAAAUAUUGUAUCAAAUGUUGCUAUCAACUUGAAAUUUAAUGACCAUAAUUGAAAUCGAUAAUGAAAUUACAAAAUCUCCCUAUAUUCAACUAUUAUAUUUUAAUAUAGAUGUCAUACUAAAUAAUUAAUAUUAUUAUACAGAUAAAUUUUAGCUGGAUAAUAUUUAAAAAUAAACUAUUUUUUUGUCACCCAUAUACUUGUGCCUGGUAGAUUUAUUUAUUUUAAAAUUUAAUAUUUUUCAUUUUAAAUAUUUCAUUUUAAAUUAUAAAUAUUAAAUAUUUUUGAUAAUUGGGCUCACUAACAUAUAAUUUUAAAAAUAAGUAUUCUUAAAUGUCAAAAUUUUCAAUAUUUCAAAUUUAUAGAACAAUUAUAUAUAAAUAUAUAAAAUAGUUUGAAGAGAUUAGAUAUAUUACUAUUAUUAAAUGAUGAACAAGUUAGUUCAUCUGGACGAUUGAGAGGAAAAAGUUAGCAUCUGUCGUAGGUUUUCAGUGUCGUCCAGUUCAAAUCAAAAACUAUCAAACGUGCUUAACAUGAAAAAUUUGUGAACGAGACCUGCAGGGACCCUCUCAUUCACUUAAUAUUUCAAACUUAUAUCGUUUUAAUAUUAAAUUACUAACUUAUUUUCACAAGAUUCUUCAAGGUGUUCCGUAAACACAUGAUAAUAAUUUCACGAUCAAAUAGAUCAAAUAUCUUGUUUUAUCGAGAUGACAAUAUGUAAAUAUUUUAAAUUAUUUCAAUAAUAUUUAUACUAAUCAAUGAGUUCUUCACCGAUGUAACAUAUGUUAUUGAAUAAUUUAUAUUUUCAGAUUUAUUUUUUCUACUGGUUUUAUAGAUAUUCUUUAACAUGUUACUUACACAUACGAUAAAAAUUGUACUUUUGGGUUUUAUUUAAUUUUAGAUGAUAAAUUUUUAAAAAAUAAAUUAUUUCAUUUAGUGUCUUGCGUGCCAAGUGUACGAUAUCUUUAUAAGUUAUUUACAUACUAAUUUUUAAUUUUUAGAUAUUAAUUUAAUAUGUUCUUUUGUUGAGAUUCUUUAAGAUGUUACGUAGCUACAUAAGUAAAAUACAUGGUUCUGUUUUUUUAAAAUUUACUAAAAAAAUUUAUUAUUUUGAUUAAUAUGGAGAUUUAAUAAGAAGUUCUCAAAUACUAAAGUUCUAAUGAAAAAUCUACAACAUAUUUUUUGCUAGUAAACAUUUAUAAGGGAGAUUCUAUAACGUGUUCAUGAAGGUGAUAAGAAUAAUUACAUAUUAAUAUUUUUAAAAAAAUUAAAAUUACGAAAAUAUCAACAAAGUUUUAUUGGUAAAAUCUGCUAUUAAUGAUUUAGUGUUUUAAUUUAUAUGAAGAUUCCAUAACGUGUUCAUGACAGUGAAAAUAAUAAAUACAUUUCAAUAUUAAAAAUAAAAAUUAAAUUAUAAUGAUAUCAAUGAGUUUCUAUUUGUAAUAUCCGCAAAAUCUCUUGAAUUUAAUACUAUAUUUUACUACUAUUUUAUACUUUUUUGUUAUAUUAAAUUUAUCUUAAUCUCACAAGUUUCUUUAAGGUGUUCCUUAAACACAUGAUAAAAUUUCAUGAUUAAAUUUUCGUAUUUAUUUUUAAUAAACAGGAAGUUGGUUGAAAGGUGGUAAGAUAUUAUCUGGAGAUUUUUAAGUGUUCGUGAAGGGAGUGUAAAUAACUACAAAUAUAUAUAUAUAUAUAAUAAUUUUGCUUUCAAAAAAAUAUAUAUAAGAUAACUUUAAAAUUAAAAGAUUAAGGUAAUAUUGAACAAAAAUCUUAGCGAAAGAUUUUAGAACACUUAAGAGAGUCUAAAAUAAAACCAGCAAAAUCUAUAAAAAAAAUUAGAAUAGAACAUUAAGUAGAAUUUUAAAUUUAUAUGACAUUAAAAUAUAAAAAAAUUCAAAUGUUUUACAAGAGAGAAAAUUAAUGAAUCUUUCUUUAAAUACCUUAAAGAAUCUUUCUGUUUACAUAAAAAUAGAUUGAUUUCAAUAAAUCAGAUUCUAUGUUAGAGGAAACUACUAUAUAUAAAAUACAAGAUUCUUGUAGGUGAUGAAAGAAUCGAUUUCAAAUCUUCUAUUAGACAUGAUAUUACAACUAUAAAUUGUCAUUUGAUAAGAAUAAAUUCUUUUCAAAAUUGAAAAGAUUUCACAAUCCCUAAAGAUCACAAAAUUAGACAAGUUAGAAUACAAAAUGCAAACCCUUAAUUAUACUAUAAAAUUACAACAAUGCCAUUAAAACAUGUAUUUGUUAGUGUAUUAAAAUACUAAUGAUCAAUGGUCUAGGAUAAGGAGUCUCUAUGGAACUCAACCCACACACACAUAUAUAUAUAUAUAUAUAUAUAUAUAUAUAUAUAUAUAUAUAUAUAUACGCGGUUAGAUUAUUUGGAGACUGUAGAGACCUAAUCCUGGCCAUCCAAUCAUUAAACAUCCAACGGCUGCAUAUAUUUUGUCCUGCACGUUUGUUUUCUCUCCCUAUCCUGUCCUGCACUUCUAAAUCGAUGAACAACAAGCAGUACUUCUAAAUCUUGCAUAACAUAAAAUAAUAAUUCCAUAAUAUUGGUGUUCAAUCACCGAAAUCCUAACAAAUAAAAAUAAUAAUUGCAUACAAAACAAAGAUGUAGUAGGACACUGCUAUGAUUGGCACUGAACUCAUUGUCAUUGUCCUGCAACGAAUUGAAUUUGUUGCAAGACAAAAUAACACUUAGAUAUAUCACAAAUAUGCGGGACAAAUUAUUAAUAUUACAUUACUAGAAAUGCAGGACAAGAAUAGUGUAAAUUACAAACAUAGUUUUGAAUUAAAACUAAAAACAAGAAAUGCAGGACAAGAAUAUUAAUAAUACAUUACUAGAAAUGCAGGACAAGAAUAGUGUAAAUUAUUAAUAUUACAAAAUUAGAAAUGCAGGAUAAGAAAUGCAGGACAAAGAAUAUUUAAUCAUGUCCAUUAAUUGCCAUAUUAUUUAACGGUAGAUCUUAUAGUCUCUAAUGACUCCAAAAUUUUUGGUCUCCAUUGAGCCCAACUCUCUCUCUCUCUCUAUAUAUAUAUAUAUAUAUAUAUAUAUAUAUAUAUAUAUAUAUAUAUAUAUCAAAGAUAUUAUAUAGGAUCAAACUAAAAAUUAUGAUUUGUACUCCAAUACUCCAAUGUUUUUAUGUACUCCAUAUAACUUAACUAUAUAUAUAUAUAUAUAUAUAUAUAUAUAUUGCACAAUUUGAAUUGAUAAUUGUCAACACAUUAUGAAAAUAAUAAAAGAAACUCAAUAUUUUGGCAUAUACAAUAUUUUAUUUAUAAAACCGGUAAUUAGGGUUAGUAUCCAACUCAUUCAAAUAAAGCACAUGCCAUCUAUCACCUUGAGAGGUCCAAGGUACACACACCCCUGUAAACGUACUAAAAUCACCAACACUUAAUAGGCCUCUAGAUGGAUCAUAUCUCCGAUCCCAUCCGAGUCUAUUUUAAAUGGACAUGGAUUUAUUUCAAAACAAUCCUAUCCAACAACAAUAAUCUAAUUAUUUAAUGGACCAUAUAUGGAUUUAGGUCAAUCCGAUCCCUCUAUGAUUGAACCCCAUCAUUUUAUGCACAUAUAAAAGAAUAUUAAUAUAAUAUAUAAUACUUAUAUACUAAAUAUGCUUCUUCGAUCCUAGUUUUGUAUGUCUUUUAUAAAAAUCAAACAUUUCGAAAAAAUGAUACUGAAAUAUUUAUAAUUCUAUUUUAAAAUAAUAAUUUUGUUUCAACUUAACUUAGUCAAACUAAUAAUUUCAUUCAACAAUUACAUAAAUUAAAUAUCUAAUAAACUUUUUGAUAUAUUGUUCAAACGAAUAUUUGAUCUACUUAAAAUGUAGUUUUGAGAUAAAGUUUUAUAUAUUGUUAAAAUUUGAACAAUUUAAAUUUGAAAAUAUGUUCAAUAGUGGCAUAUAGUUUUUUUGAGUGAGGUAAAUAAUUGCCUUCACUCCUUUAGUUAUAGCACUGUGUAAAAUUAUGUUUGUAUAGGUGAUAGUAAUCAUAUAUUUUCUUAUAGUUUGUAUCUUGAAUGGAAUUUUCAUUAGUAGAAUUAUUAUGAUAUAAUUACUUUUUUGAUCUUAUAUAUUCAAUAACAAGUAUACAAUUAUAUGAUCGAUAUUUUCAAUAAUUUUGACCAAAUUUACCUCCUAAAUCGUUGGCUAGAGACCGUCCAAUAUAAUUUUAUAGCAGAAUGUUUUAAUUGAUUAUAUAUGGGAAAAAAAUGAACACUUCUAAAAUUAUAUAUUGUUUUGAAUACAAUGAUUAGUGUAAUUUUAUUUUGAAUAAAUCAUCUUAAUAACUUGUAAUAUGUAAUUUUAAUUUCCUGGUCGUUAUUGAUGUUAAUGUAUUUGGUGUCAUUUUUGUAUCUUAUGAGUUCUCGGUGUUGAUAUGAGCUUAUUGUUAUUGAUCUAAAUGUAUUUGAUCUCAUUUUUUUUAUAGAUUAUGUAUUGGAUGUGAGCUUCUCUAUUAUUUAAUUUACACGAGUCAAUAUGGUGCACCCAAGAUUGUAGGUGGCAAUGAUCUAAUGAUAUUAUUUAAAUUCAUUCAAAGAAUUUGUACAAUCUUAGUUAGGUAGAUUAUUUAGGUCGGGUAUAUAGGAAAUUUUUUAGGCUACAUAAGGUUUUUACCUUAUAAACAUUAGUGUAACUUUAAGGAAAGUGUUUCUAUCUUAUAGAUAUUAGUGUAAUUUUUAAAAUAAGAAAGGCCACAUAUAUAAUUGAUUGUUUAGUGUGAUUUACAACAAAAUAUAUUGUUCACGUAAAUGUAGAAUCAUAGGAUCUUACAUUUUAAUAUUUUUAAGUGGCCUUAUUCCAUGUCCACUAUUAGUGUUGUAAAAAAGCGCGAAUCGGAUUUUGUCGGUGAAGGCACCGUCCAGCAAUUAAUCGGAUAAUUGGGGAUUAAUCGGAGUGAUUAAUCUGAUCAUUAAUCGUAACCAAUUUAAUAUUAUUUUUAAAAUUAUAUAUUAAUAUAAUUAUAUACUAUAAAUUUAUAGUCUUAUAAAAUUAAAAGUUUAAUGAUUUUUCAUAACAUAAAACAUGUCUUUAUAUACAUAUACAAGUUCAGUUAUCUCAUAUAUAAGCUUGAAUUUGAAUGAAUCUGCGAAGUAAAAUAUUGCUGAUUUUUGUAAUUAGAGUCGGGGGCUAAUAUCGAAAGAGUGAAAGGUAAUAAAAACAACUUUAACUUUUGUUAUUUGUCAUUUCCAUGCCUUUUAUUUUAUUAGAAAUUGAAUUUUAAAUUUUUAAAAAAAUUACUUUUUAUUUUAAAUUUUUUUAAAUUCACCGAUUUUGACCGUCUUUUUCCGAUUAAUCCCGUCUUUUGACCGAUUAAUCCUGUUUUUGACCGAUUUUAAGAAAAAACGAUUUUUCCACCGAUUAACACUUAAUCGAGACGGUGGCCGACCGAACAGCGAUUAAUCGGCGAUUAACCCCGAUUAAUCGCCGACUUUUAGAACACUGUCUACUAUAUGUAUUAUAAAGGUUUUUUUUUUUUUUGACAGUACUAUAUAUGUAUUAUAAAGGUUAUUUAAUCUUGAGGAAAUUCAUUCAGUUUAAAAAGCCUAUCUGAACCUUUUCAACACUACACUGCUUGACGUAAUACCAAAGCAGAACUUUUUAUUUAAAAUAACUGCUUUAUCCUUCAGGAGCUGAUAAUUCGGACCUGGUUCCUAACCUUGGCAAUGAUCAUUUCACUGAUCAGAUCAUGCUCGACUCCUUCAGUGUUCACUUUCAUUGGUUGUUCCUCACAAAAGUUUUCUGAACUCAAGCUUUUAUAUAUGGGUGAUGGGUGACUACAGGAAAUGGGUAUCUUGGACUAGGCGGUCCAUCACCCAUAUAUAAAAGCUUGAGUUUAGAAUACUUGUGUGAGGAACAAACAGUGAAAUUGAGUCAUUUAAUGUAUCGAUAAUAACUGGCUCUUCAAGAGGAAUUUUAAAAGGAUCUAGCCAUGAAAAAAAUUUGAAUUGUUUAUCUUCAAUGUCAAAUGACACUACUGCUUUGGAAAUUCUAUCUUCAAUACCUGCAGAAUCAGUAACCCAAUGAAAUGCCUAUUCUAAAGGUCAGAUGAAAUAAGGAGCAGAGAUACCAAAACGUAUCACUGGAUCAUUGAAAUGAGGGGCACUUGAUCAUGCUCAUGACAUGGAAGAGUUGUUAAAUCAUGUGCACUACGACAAUUAGGAUGUUGGACAAAUGAUCUUCCUAUAAUGACAACAUAUGAGAGCGAUUUUUUUAUGACCCUAAAAUCCAAAAACGGAAGAACACUCCAGUUUUUUGUAUUUCACUACAUUCUGCAUUUAUGUUGAAACUUUGGAAACAGUAACCUGGGAUAUUGAAUAUGCAGGAAGGGCUGUUCAGUGAUGUAAUUUCCGACCCUUGCAUAGUAUAUCUAUUAACACUGCGUGACCUAAUAUCUGAAGCAUUGUAGAAGAAUAAUAAAUUAUAACAUCCGGUUAAAAGUAUGAAAGGAAAUAUCUCCGUAAUAGUUUUGAAAAUGUUACCCGCAGUUUAACACUAACUAAUGUUGCUUUUGUGAGCUUUGUCUACUUUACUUUGUAGGGCACACACUGUUCAGUUAAAGCAAUGUGGCUUUCGGGAGCUUAAUUUGCUCUAAUUUAGUUUGUAGCACACACUAUUCAGUAAAACCUAAUGUGGCUUUUGGGAGGUUUGCUCUCUUUUGUAUAGUAGGGCAUACAUCCUGUUGAGUAAAAACUAAUGUAACAUGUGAUGGGAGCACAACAAUUUUUUGAAGUUGAUUAUUAUUAGGUACAUUUUCUAUCACUAACCACCACAACAAUAAUGUCUGCAUUCCAUAUAUAUAUUCGAAAUGAUAUGUCUUGUCUUUACUUAAGGAUCUUUUUUUUUGUGUUGAAAUAUAAGUAUAAGAUCCAUAAAAGGGCCUCCCCUAGCACCUUAAGGUUUUAGAUGGAAUGGUUCUCUACAUGGUAUCAGAGCUCAGGUUUGUGGGAGGUCUCGGGUUUGAGCCCCUGCCACCCCCCAAUAUUCUCACAAUUUAAAAUGGACACGAAGGCAAUUUAUACCCCAAAGAUGGGCGCCCGUGAUCCACUCUUCAACCUAAAUAAUGGGAUUUCGAGUGAGGGGGAGUUCGAGCCCCUGCCACACCCCAAUAUUCUCACAAUUUAUAGACACGAACUCUUCAACCCAAAUAAUGGGAUUUCGAGUGAGGGGGAGUGUUGAAAUAUAAGUAUAAGAUCCAUAAAGGCGCCUCCUCUAGCACCUUAAGGUUUUAGAUGGAAUGGUUCUCUACAGUAAUCUAUAUACAUAUAUAGUUGGUCAUGUAUUUUUCGGUCAUGAAAUUGAUACUAAAUUUUUUGAUCUUUUUAUCUUAAAAAUAUUUCUUUCCUUCUCUUUUAUAUUUCAAAUACUUUGAUUCACAUGUGUAUUGUUGAUGUGAUUUAUCUCUCUUGUAAUACUACCCAUUUACAGUUUGUAAAACUAGUUAUUACUAUUCUAUACUUCUACUACAAUCGGACCAUGGAAAAAAACUUUUCCCGGCCACCUGCUGCAACUUCAGUUAUGUUCUAUCCUGAGGAAAAUAAUAUCGUUAUCGUCGGCAGGGAGGAUGACUCUAUACUAAUCUAUGGUGUUCAGAAAGAUAUGGUCUUUAUCUAUAUAUACUGAAAUCUAAGUGUUGUACAUUAAAAAAGAAUUAUCAUUUAGCUAUUAAGUUCUUAUUAUCUAUUUGGCAUAUAUAGAUGAUUGCCCAGAUAAUGCUCAUCAGAAGAGAGUGACUGGUCUUGCCUAUUCUAGUGCAUUGAAUAUCCUUUUAUCGUCUGGAUAAGAUGCUCAGGGACAUUUUUAAAGUGGAAGGCUAAUAGAAGAUAUCAGAUGCAUCGGCACAUUUCUGUCAAGUGUCACCAGGACCAAAGACAUUUGUUGGUUGUACAUGGAAGUUGUAUAGGCACUCCUGAGAUACCUAAUCUCGAGCCCUGCAAGCAGGUAUCUACAAAUUAUUUGCAGAGUUGACAAUUAAUUUAUAUGCUUUGUUGAAUAUCACAACAUGCUUAAUUCACCCACGCUUUAUUAGACCUUAUUUGAAAGAGGUCGGGGUGAUCAUUUUGGGUGCAACUAUAAUGUGUAUUAAUGAUCAAGCACAUAACAAAUAUAUAUUAAUUGUGUGUCUACAUAUAUACCUACAUGAACACAAUCAUAUUCGACAGAACUUGACAUUGAUUUUUUUAAAAUAGCCCCUGGUUCAAUAUCAUGUCGCUCUGCUAUUGAGGGAUCUAAGUUCUUCAUGACAGAAGAAAAUUCUUAAGCUCUUUAAAUAUUUCUUGCAGUAGAUUCCCGGGGAAUUGAUCAGUGAUGGUGCAUACAUAUUCAUGUGAUGGCCAGUCCAUAUAUGCCUGCUUUCUUAACAGGCACAUUGUUUUCUUGGACUCAGCAUCUUUGACCAUAAAAUUUUUUAUCAAUCCGCGUGCAUAUUACCUUCUAAUUAAAGGUACGUGUUAUGUUUAAUUAAAAUGUAUCCUGAAAAAAUGAGCUUAUUAGCGAUAACAUCCUCUUGACUAGAAGCUGCAUUCUGUAUUAUAUCUACAGCCGGGUGAUGUCUGCUUCUACUCUUGCGGCUAAUCCUACAAAACACAAUCAGUUUGCUCUCGGGGAUAGUGAUGGUGGCGUACUAGUUAUAGAACUUGAGGAAGAGGAUAUUGGGGUUGGCAUUGUAGCACGCCUUAGCUUGAGACCAGCAACAACUGAGAACUUGAUAUGAGCUUUUGUGAUAAUCAGAGCCCAGUGUCUCUUGAAAUCUAUAUGUUUUGAAGUUUUUUUUUUGCUUGACUAUGUUAAGUGAUAAAUGUUCAAUGCAAAUAUACACCCAGUGCAAAAUUUGAAAUGAGAAUUGUCAACAGAGUAUGAAAAUGAGAAAAGAAAGACAAUAUUUUGGCAGAUACAAUGUUUCACUUAUACAACGUGUAAUUUUCAAUGCAAAUAUACAUGUAGCUUCCCAAUUUCAAAAGAGAAUUAUCAAAACAAAUAUGCAAAUAUACAUGCUUGACUAUGUUAAUUGAAUUUUUUUUUUAAUUCAAAUAUACAUGUAGAAGCAGAAUAUGAAAUGAGAACUGUCAACAUAGUAUGAAAUAUGAAAAUAAUAAAAGAAAUUCAAUAUUUUGGUAUUCGGAGUGUCCGAAACGACACAUUUUCGAGUAUUGGAUUUGGCAUUAUCGAAAAUUCCGGACACUGUUACAAUGUCCUAGUUAAUUUUUGACAUGGAUACGGUGACGUACCGAAUUUUAAAAUAAUUAUUUAUUUUCAUUUGAUAAAUAAAUAAAUAUAUUUCAUUAUUUUUUAGUUGAAAAUGUGCAUUUGAUUGAUUUAUAAAAUUCAAAAAUUAACAACUACUAUAACAAAUGUGUUAAACAUUUUUCUUGCCAAUAUUCAUGUAAAGAAAAAAUUAUGCACAGCAGAGUAAAACAAAGGGAAAAAGGGAAACAGCUGGAUAAUGAAUGUGGACUUAAAAAAGUCCAGAUACAUUUGUAAUAUAUAAUACAUCUCAAUACAUGUGUUCCUCCAUCUUUUCAUCCUUUUACUAUCAUCUUCUUCAUUUCUCUCCACCUUUUCACCACUUCUCAUCUUCUUCUUCCUCUUCCCCAUCUUUCAUAACAUCGCUUCUUACACAAUUCCUUCUAUAAUUCUCAACGAUCUUUGAUUUUGAUUUCUCUGAUAACCAUCGACUUUUCCUAUGAUGAAUGUGCGGUAUAGAGCUUUCAACCGAGCAGUCCGGCCUCUAUCCUGUUUCUUGUCUUGUGUCGUGUCGUGUCGGCACGGGUACGUUGAACGGAAUAGGCGAGUCGGAGUAACACAGCUAAGCAAUGAAGAAAAUGCUUCAAAACUUGUGGUAAGAAUGUGAGAGUAUUUAAUUAUAUGAAAUCUUGAUAAUUAAAGACCGGAGUGUAUAUGAUGUAACAACUCUUGAAUGUCAUGAGGCUGAUGAUCAAGUGCCCCCUUAUUCCAAUGAUCCAGUGAUACUCUUUGGUAUCUCUGCUCCUUAUUUUAUCUGUCCUUUAAAGUAGGCAUUUCAUUCAGUUACUGAUUCUGCACCUAUACUGAUCUAUGAUGUUCAGAAAGGUAUGGUCUAUACUAAUCUAUGGUGUUCAGAAAGAUAUGGUCUUUAUCUAUACUGAUAUCUAAGUGUUGUGCAUUAAAAUAAAUUAUGAUUUAGUUAUUAAGUUCUUAUUAUCUAUUUGGCAUAUAUAGAUGAUUGCUCAUCAGAAGAGAGUGACUGGCCUUGCCUAUUCCAGUGCAUUAAACAUCCUUUUAUCGUAUGGAUAUGAUGCUCAGGUGCAUUUUUAAACUGGAAGGCUUAUAGAAGAUAUCAGAUCCAAAGUCACAUGACGCUAAUAAUCCUUUUGGUGUUGCAGAUCUGUGCUUGGAACAGAUUUGGAUGGAAAGUUGUCUAGCCACUCUUGAGGGGCCUAACCUCGAGCCCUGCAAGCAGGUAUCUGAAAAUUAUUUGCAGUGUUCUCAAUUAAUUUACAUGCUUUGUUAAGUAUCACAACAUGCUUCACCACCCUUUAUUAGACCAUAUUUGAAAGAGGUCAGGGUAAUCAUUUUGGGUGCAACUAUAAUGUGAAUUAAUGAUCAAGCACGGAACAAAUUAAUAAAUAUUAAUUGUGUGUGUACAUAUAUACCCUCAUGAACACAAUCAUAUUCGACAGAACUUGAUAUUGAUUUUUCUAAAAUUGCCCCUGGUGCAAUAUCAUGUCGCUCUGCUACUGAGAUUAACAAGUUUUUAACAACAGAAAAAAAUUCUCAAACUCCUUAAGUAUUGUUUGCAGUGGAUUCCCGGGGAAUUGAUCGUCGGCGAUGCUGCAUAUUUAUGUAAUGGCCAGUCCAUAUAUAUUCAUGCCUUUUUAAAAGGAACAUUGUUUUCUUGGAUUCGGCAUCAUUUACCCUCUUGACUGGAAGUUGCCUUCUGUAUUAUUUCUACAGCCAGGUGAUGUAUGCUUUUACUCUUGCGGCUAAUCCAACAAAACACAAUCAGUUUGCUCUCGGGCUUAGUGAUGGUGGCGUACUAGUUAUAGAAGAAGAGGAUACUGGGAUUGCUUUUUGUAGCACGCCUUAGCUUGAGACCAGCAACAGCUGAGAACUUGAUAUGAGCUUUUGUGAUAUAUAAUCAGAGACCAGUGACUCUUGAAAUCGAUAUGUUUUAAAACAUACAUCUAGGGAUUGAAUUAGUGCAAGGGUUUUGAAGGUGUUUUCUUACUUGACUAUGUUAAGUGUUAAAUUUUCAAUGCAAAUAUACACGUAUGUGUAGAAAUUGAAAUGAGAACUGUCAACAGAGUAUGAAAAUAAGAAAAAAAACCAAUAUUUUGGCAUAUACAAUGUUCCACUUACAAAGCAUGUAACUUUCACAAUGCAAAUAAAUAUGUAGCAACCCAAUUCGAAAAGAGAAUUAAUGUCAACACAACAUAUAUGGAAAUAAUAAAAGAAACCCAAUAUUUUUGCUUGACUAUGUUAACCAAUAAAUUUUCAAUGCAAAUAUAUAUGUAGCCACACAAUUUGAAAUGAGAACCUGUCAUCAUAGUAUGAAAAUAUUAAAAUAAUAAAAGAAACCCAAUAUUUUGACAUAUACAAAGUUUCACUCAAAAAUUUUGUAAUUAGGAGCUAGUAUCUAACUCUUUCAAGGCCCACUAUCACCCUCAGGUCCAACAUACACAACACCCUUUUAGAUGUAUAAAAAACACCAUCACUUAAUAGGCCUCCAAAUGGAUCAGAUAUGAUCCGAGUCCAUUUUAAAUAUUCAUGAAUUGGUCUCAAAAUAAUUUCAUUGGCAAAUAUAAUGGGUUAUUUAUUGAAUCAAAUAUGGAUUUAGGUCCAUCCUACCUGUCUAUGAUCCAACCCCAUCAUUAUAUGUAUAUAUAAAAUAACAGUAAUAUAAUAUUUAAUACUAUAUACUCAAUAUGUUAUUUCCCAUCCUAUAUUUGCAUGUCUCUUAUGAAAAUAAAACAUUUAGAAAAAAUGUUAGUGAAUAUUUAUAAUUCUAUCAUAAGGUCUAAGGAUUCUAUGUCUAAUAUGAGCUUACCUAUUAUUAGUGUCAAUGUAUUUGAUCUCAUUUUUGUAAGUUAUGUAUUACAAUGCUGAUGUGAGCAUAUUUAUUAUUUUAAUUUACACGAGUCAACAUGUUUGACUUUCCCUUUUAUUGAUUUUACCAGGCUCCUCUAAUUUGUCUUUUUAAGUUUAUAUGGACGGUGCUUCUAAUUACCUAAACAUUAUGGGUGGUAAUGCUCGGAUUUCCACUGAUAUAAUUUAAAUUCAUUCAAAGAAUUUGUACAAUUUUAUGUAGAUAGCAUAUUUACGUCCUUUAGGUAAUUUGAAAUCAUAAUUAUUGAAGAAAUUUAGACUGUUAUUUAUAACUUAGUGUUUCUACCUUAUAAAUAUUAGUGUGAUUGUAAGGAUAGUGUUUCUACCUUAUACACAUGUGUAAUUUUAAGGAUAAAGAUGGUCAUAUAAUUGAUUGUUUAGUAUACUUUUCAAAUGAAAUAUAAUGUUCACAUAAAUUUAGAAUUAUAGUUCUUACUUUAUAUAUAUUUUUAAGCGGCCUACUUGAACUCUUUUGGACACGACGCUGCUAAUCAAAUUCUUAAGCUUGUUCCAAAUAUGGAGGUGGUUAUAGGUAUUCAUCUAAAUCUCAACAUUAAUAUUUCAUCAAUUUCUUUGACUUAAAUUUUGUUUGAUGUUAAAUGGAGAACUUUUAAACAAUCCUUGGUAGUCCUUUGGAGAUAUCUACAUAUACUGAAUGUCAUAAUGGGCAUAUCUCAAUUUGGAAAAAAGAUGUCAUAGAUAAAACAUAUAUGGAAAAUUAUCACAAUGGUACCCUAAUGAUUGUUUUUCACAAAUAAGCUUUUAUAUGUUAUCUACUACUAUCGAUCUAUUUUCUUCCCAGGAAAUUUAUUACAAUGCUACUCAAUAGGAUUAGGAUUACUUAUGAGAAUUUUGUUCAUUCUUUAAGGCACGCAAAUGCUUUUGCGGCAUGUAUAUAUUAUCAAUGCACAAUUGUGCAUAUUAUUAUAAUUUCUUCAUAUGAUGAUGUCUCAUUAAUUGGUUGCCCAAAAACAAUAUUGAAGCAACAUAAGUUUAAUUUGUAAUAUUUUAAUUUGUGUAUGUAAAUCACUUAGUAUAUACCGGCCAUUCUUGAAUGUAUCUUUUAUUUACAUGUAAACUUUUGGAGUAAGAAUGUUAUCAUGGAUCAAUUAUUUAUUAUUUCAUUUAUUUCCUAGUGGAAUAUUGUAGAUACUAUGUGGUCAGUGUCAUUUUUAUGCUAAUACUUAAAUGCAAAAUUAAAAUCAUGUGUACAUUAUGAAUAUCACAUUAGGCUAUAGUGGAAAAUAAUUGAAUGACAUAUACAACAUGUGAGCUACUUGCAUAAGAUAGCUAUCAAAGACGGGUUUUAUUUGGAACACACUAGCCGAUUUAUUUCAAUAAGUAAACGCAACUUGAUGGGACAAUUAACUAUAGAGUUCGGAACAUUACUAAGCUAGAGACCUGAUCUUAAAAUACGUAUAUUACCUUUUGCAUUAGUUAUAAUUUUGACUUUUUAAGUCCUCGAUGUGAAAUUUUUAACAAGAUUUGUUAUUCUAGUAAGUUGGAUGAUUAAAUGUGUUAUACUCAUUAUUCAAUUUAUAUUAGGUUGAGUACAUUACUAAAUCAGUAAAUUGAGCUCAGAACUCUGUCUUUGGGAUUCUUUAUUCAAAAUCUUGUCAUUCUUUGAAGCAUAUACCAAUGUCAUCUUCAAAUUAAUGUUUUUGUCUCAGAUGAGGAAGAUGUGUGAGCUUGGAAAGGUUGUGUGAAAUCUAAGCUUAGGCAACUUACUUUGAAGGUUAAUAUUUUACUUUGUUUAGGUAAAUGGGUGUUGUUUCUAGCUCAGUUAUUGGAUGUUUCUUUUCUUUCCUUUCAUUGUGUUCUUUCAUAGAUAGAACCUGAUCAUGAGAAUCGAGACUUAACAUUUUAUAUGGAUGGCGGCCGGGUCAAAAACAAAAAAAAUUAAUAUUAAUAAGUGAUCAAUGUUGGUUUUCACACAUAAAUAUAUAACAUAACUUUAAUAUUGUACUUGAAAGAAAUUAAAUAAAAUAUGAAACAGUUCAAAUUAAGCUCAUUUGUAAUUCUCAUGAAUCAUCUCUAUAUGAUAUAAUCAAGAGUAAACUUCAAAGUUAUGGCCAAAGUUUACACCGAUUUUUAAAAAGUUGACCAGAGUUCCAAAUUCUCAAAAAGAUGGCCAAACUUUGGCUCCGCUUUUUAAAAGUGUGGCUACCGUUAAAUGUCACUAACAGGAGCCUAACGGAAGCCACAUUUUUGAAAAGCGGACCAAAGUUUGGCCACUUUUCUGAGAAUUUGGAACGAAUAGAAGGGUAAAAAUGAGUUUCAUUAUAGUAUUGAUUCAUAUAGAAUCAAAUUAAGUCCAAAUAUGUAGUCAUUUGUCUCUAGACUUAUGUGUGAAAUCAUGGAUAAAUAUGUGCAACACUUGCUAAACGAACAUAUCAAUACUUUAUAAUAUUUUUAAAGCAAUUGUGAGCUACAAUACAUCAUAAUAAAGUUAUUUGUGGGAUAUAAAUUUAAUAUAUUGUCGAUUGUACUUCCUUUGCCUUCCUCUUGAAAGGCAUAAAAAUCCUUUGGUAAUCCAAGACAAUAUAUUAAAUUUAUAUCCUUUGGUAAUCCUUUGGCAUAAAAAUCUUGAUUAUUUUUAAAUCAUUAUGGCAUACUAUAUUGGGCUUGUGAAAUGGUACGCCAGGAAGGAUUUUGAUUGUCUUAUGUGCACGUGGUGGUGUAACAAAACCCUCGCCCUCUGGACUCGACUUUUGUUUAAAACUAGCGUUGCUCGUGCUAGUAUGCUAAUGUGUGUGGGACUGUGGGAGUAGGGGUCAUUUUGAGGAUAUAUUUUUAUAUUGCUUGAGUGUUUAAAUGGGAUUAUUUGUAUAUUGCUUGAGUGUUUAAUCUGUGCUUGGAACAGAUUUGGAUGAUCAUGGAAAUACUUCGUCUCCUCGGCACACUUCUGUCAAGUUUCACCUGCAGGACCAUAUUUGAAAAAGGUCGGGGUGAUCAUUUUGAGUGCAAGUUUAAUGUGUAUAAAUGAUCAAGCAUAUAACAAAUGAAUAUUAAUUCUGUGCGUACAUAUAUACCUACAUGAACACAAUCAAUAUUCGACAGAAAUUUAUCAAUAACCUUAACACGCACAUUGUUUUGGUGGGAUCGGCAUCAUUUUCCAUAAACUUUGUCAUCAAUCCGAUUGCAUAUAUAUAUACCUUCUAAUCAAAGUUACAUGUUAUGUUUACUUCCAAUGUAUCUCGAAAAUGUGAACUUAUAAGCAAUUCAACCCUCUUGACGGGAAGUUGCCUUCUAUAUUAUAUCUACAGCCCGGUGAUGUAUGCUUCUAUUCUUGCGGCUAAUCCUACAAAACACAAUCAGUUUGCUCUCGGGCUUAGUGAUGGUGGCGUACUUGUUAAAGAACUUCGGAGGAUAUUGGAAAUGGCUAUGUAGCAUGCCUUAGCUUUAGACCAACAACAAAUGAAAACUUGAUAUGACCUUUUGUGAUAAUGAGAGCCGGGUGUCUCUUAAAAUCUUAAUGUUUUAGCACAUACAUGUACAGAUUGGAUUAGUGCAAGGGUUUUAAAGAUGUUUUUUUGCUUGACUACGUUAAUUGAUAAAUUUUCAAUGCGAAUAUAUUUGUAGCCGCACAAUUUGAAAUGAUAAUUGUCAAUAUAGUAUGAAAAUAACAAAAGAAAUCCAAUAUUUUGGCAUAUACAAUAUUUUGCUUAUAAAGCGGGUAAUUAGGAGCUAGUAUCCAACCCAUUCAAAUAAAGCACAUGCCCACUAUCACCCUGAGGUCCAACAUACAAACACCCUGGUAGAUGUACGAAAAUCACAAAACACAAUUUAAAUGGACAUGGACUGAUUAAUUUCAAAAAAAUCGGAUCCAACAACAAUAAUCUAAUUAUUAAAAGGACCAUAUAUGGUUUUAGGUCAAUCCGAUCCGUCUAUGAUCGAACCCCAUCAGUAUAUGCAUAUAUAAAAGAAUAUUAAUAUAAUAUUUAAUAAUUAUAUACUCAUUAUGCUUCGCCGGUCUUAUUUAUGUAUGUCACUUAUAAAAAUCAAACAUUUAGAAAAAAUGAUACUGAAAUACUUAUAAUUCUAUUUUUAUAAUGAUAGUUUUGUUUCGACUUAAUUUAGUCAAACUAAUAAUUUUAAUCAACAAUUACAUAUUUUAAAAAACCAUGAAACUUUUUAGUAUAUAUUAUUCAAAUAUUUGACCCAAGGAUAACCUAAUUUUUUUUAAAAUUGGAUUAUGAAAUUGCAAAACAUAAUUAUUUAAUGGGAUCAAUACUUCCAAUUGACUAAGUAUGAGUCAAGGAUCCAUUGACAUAUAGUUCCAUAUUUAAAAAAAAUAAAAAGCCAUUUAAGCACAAUAACGGCGUCAAGUGCUAUUUUUACCCAAGACUUUGCUACUCCGGGUCUUAUAAAUCAAAUAUAUCAAUCCGCAAUAUUAGUACCCGCUCUCCAAUCCGAGUUGUUAAUAAUGCACGUAAGUGUGAUGAUACUCAGCUAUGCAGCUCUUUUAUGUGGAUCUUUAUUAUCCCUUAUGAAGUUCAAGGUACUCACUUUAAUCAAAAUUAAGAAUUACGGGAUUCUCAUUCGGGGAGAGACUACUCUAUAAUUUCACACAUUUUCUUGGGCAGUUUAUUUGUGAAAAUGUAUGUAUAGCAAAAAACGGACCACAUCUCAAAUCGGGUCAAGUUCUAAUUGUUAUAAAAUUGAUUCUCUAGUAAUACGAUCCGCUAAGCCUUAUUUGGCCACCUCAAGAGCAAGGGUUCAUGGCCAUUAUGAGAAAAUCCUUUACGAAAGAGAUACAUCAAUUACAUUUAUAUAUGAGAAAUUGCGAUCUCGUGAUAUAACACAAGGCCUUCCAAAAGUGGAACAGGUAUUAGAAGUGCGUUCGAUUGAUUCAAUAUCGAUGAAUCUCGAAAAGAGGGUCGAGGGUUGGCACGAAUGUAUAACAAGAACUCUUGGAAUUCCUUGGGGGUUCUUGAUUGGUGUUGAGCUAACUAUAGUGCAUAUCGCUUUGGUUAAUUAUAAGAUCCAAAAUAUUUAUCGAUCCCGGGGUGCAGAUCCAUAAUAGACAUAUAGAAAUUAUUACAUGCACAUCAAAUAAUAUAAAAAGUUUUGGUUUCUUACCCGAAACAAAGGAAUCAUAUGCAAGAACCAUAGCAUUUCGUGAUUUAUUGGUAAAUCCACUUUGAUUCUCUAUCAACCGAAAAUGGGGGACCAUUAACAUAAACUAUUGUUAAAGCUAAAUCGCUUGAAGUCCAGACGCAACAUGUUACUCUUUCUACCACUAUAUGUAUAGAGAUGUUUUCAAAAUGCCAAAUUGUAACGAAAAUUUUAGUUUAUUAACAUUAUUAACAAUGAAAAAUCCUGAAAUUUUUCUUCUUUGUUUUCAAAAAAACGUAUCAAAUUGAUGAGAAUGAAAGAAACAUCACACAACCCCUUAUUACAAUUACCCGUACUUUAUUGCUUAGUCUAGCUUUUAUGGAAGCUUUAACAAUUUAUGGUCUGGUUGUAGCAUUAGCACUUUUAUCUGCGAAUCCUUUUGCUCAAUUUAUAAUGUGAAGUUUAAAAGAAAAUCUUGUAUUCAAAGUAAUUUUGGAUUCAGUAUGGAUAAAAGAUCUUCCUAUGUUAUACUAUUUAACUCACGAAAUUGAAUUUAUUUGAUAGCCCAUGAAUCCGAUUUGGUUAUUAGUAAAGCUAAAUGAGCGAGGGUACUGCCACGAAAAUAUUAAAACCUCGAGCUGGUGUAGUUUUACUAUAAAAAGACCUACUUGCCAUAUAGCUAUUGUUGUGAAAAAUAUAUGAUUAGAUGAAUAUCAAUAUCUAGGGGUAGACUUUAUAGACUCUUUCCGAUGCUAAAAAAAAAAAACUUAAAUCGAUUGGGAUAAAGUUUUAUAUAUUUUUACAAAAAAAAAAAAAACUUAAAUCGAUUGGGAUAAAGUUUUAUAUAUUUUUACAAUUUGACCAAUUUAAAUAUUAAAAUGUGUUCAAUAGUGGCAUAUAGAUAUUAUGAGUGAGAUUUAGCAAAAAAAAAAAAAGAGUUAUUAUGAGUGAGGUAAAUGAGUGCUUCACUCCUUUAGUUAUAUAUAGCACUAUGUAAAAUUAUGUUUUUGUAGGUGAUAGUAAUCAUAUAUUUCCUUAUUAUUUGUAUCUUCAAUGGAACUUUCAUUAGGAGAAUUAUUAUGAUAUAAUUUCUUUUUUGAUCUUAUAUACUCAAUAACAAGUAUACAAUUAUAAGAUCAAUAUUUUCGACAAUUUUGACCAAAUUUACCUCCUAAAUUGCUCGCUAGAGACCAUCCAAUAUAAUUUUAUAGCCAGAUGUUUUGAUUGAUUAUAAUGAACACUUCUAAAAUUAUAUAUAGUUUUGAAUAAAAUCAUUAAGGUAAUUUAAUUUUGAAUACAUCAUCAUAAUAACUUGUAAUAUGUAAGUUUUCCUAGUCUUUAUUGAUCCUAAUGUAUUUGAUCUCAUUCUUGUAUCUAUUAUUUUAAUUCACACCCAUCAAUAUGGUGCCUUGGUGCUAGUAAUUAACUAAAGAUUGUGGGUGGCAAUGCGAAGAGCUUCUAAUGAUAUUAUUUAAAUUCAUUCUAAAAAUUUGUACAAUCUUAAGUAGGUAGAGUAUUUAGGUCCGUUAGAAAAUUUGAAAUCCUAAUUAUCGAAGAAAUUUUAGACUUUAAUUUAUACGAUAAGGUUAAUACCUUAUAAAUUACAUUAGUGUAACUUUAAGGAAAGUGUUUUCACCUUAUAGACAUUAGUGUAAUUUAAAAUAUAAGGAAGGCGGCAUAGUUCAUUUUUAGUGUAAUUUACAAAUAAAAUAUAAUGUUCACAUAAAUGUAGAAUUAUAGUUCUUACAUUUUACUCACGUCCCUUUUUAGUUGUCCCAUUUGGAUUUGUGCCGGUCAAAUUGACCAAGACUGAAAUUUUUUAAUAUUUUCUCAACUGAUAAAAUUAAAAAAAAAAUUCAUCGGAAAUAAUUUUUAAUCUACUUUAAGAUGUAAUUUUUAGUUUUUAAAAUAAUGAAAUAGUGACUUAUAUAUAAUCUUUGGUCAAAAAUUAGUCAAUUUGACCGAUAAAAAUAGAAGGGAAAUUACCUUGUAUACUGUUUUUUCAAUCUUAUUUUCAAAAAUACUACAUUCUCUAAAAUCUUUCAAAUAUACCAUCUUUUUGAAAAGAAUUCCAAAAAUACGGUGAUUGCAUAUGCAACCAUAUAUGCAACAACAAUUUCUGAUUUUAAAGAUGAGGUCGAAAAUGACAUUUGAAAACUAGAACUUGAAAUCAGAAAUUGUUGUUGCAUAUAUGGUUGCAUAUGCAACCAUGGUAAUUUUGGAAAUAUUUUCAAAAAGAUAGUAUACGUAUUCAGUUGAUUCUAUUGUAAUUUAAUGGCCCCGCCAGGGGCACCCAUACAUGAGUUGUAACUUACAGUUUUCAGUUGCAUUUAGUUGCAUAUGAGGUUGCAUUUUCGUAUGCAACCUCAUAUGCAACUAAAUGCAACUGAAAACUGUAAGUUACAACUGAUGUAUGGGUGCCCCUGGCGGGGCCAUUAAAUUACAAUAGAAUCAACUGAAUACGUAUACUAUCUUUUUGAAAAUAUUUCCAAAAUUACCAUGGUUGCAUAUGCAACCAUAUAUGCAACAACAAUUUCUGAUUUCAAGUUCUAGUUUUCAAAUGUCAUUUUCGACCUCAUCUUUAAAAUCAGAAAUUGUUGUUGCAUAUAUGGUUGCAUAUGCAACCAUGGUAAUUUUGGAAAUAUUUUCAAAAAGAUAGUAUACGUAUUCAGUUGAUUCUAUUGUAAUUUAAUGGCCCCGCCAGGGGCACCCAUACAUGAGUUGUAACUUACAGUUUUCAGUUGCAUUUAGUUGCAUAUGAGGUUGCAUUUUCGUAUGCAACCUCAUAUGCAACUAAAUGCAACUGAAAACUGCAUCAGUUGUAACUUACAGUUUUCAGUUGCAUUUAGUUGCAUAUGAGGUCGCAUUUUCUUAUGCAACCUCAUAUGCAACUAAAUGCAACUGAAAACUGUAAGUUACAACUGAUGUAUGACGUGCCCCUGGCGGGGCUAUUAGAUUGCAAUAUAAUCAACUGAAUGCAACCAUAUGCAACUGAAUGCAACCAUAUGCAACUGAAUACAACCAUAUGCAACCAUAUAUGCAACUUCAAUUCCUGAUUUCAAGUUGCAGUUUUCAAAUGUCAUUUUCGACCUCAUCUUAGGAAUCUCGAAAAUGACAUUUGAAAACUGCAACUUGAAAUCAGGAAUUGCAGUUGCAAAUAUGGUUGCAUAGGCAACCACCGUAUUUCUGAAAAUAUUUUCAAAAAAAUAGUAUUUUUAGAAAGAUUUUAGAGAAGAUAGUAUUUUUGCAAUUUGUUUUAAAAUGUGGUAGUAUUUUCGAAAAAGUUAUUUUAAACUUGGUUAUGAAUAAAAAAAGCCCACAAUAGAAAUGUGAUCACUAAAAAAGUACGGAGAAAAAGUAAUAUUUUUAAGUGGCGUUAUUCUAUAUCUACUAUAUGUAUUAUAAAGGUUAUUUAAUCAUGAGACAUAUUUUUUAGUGGCGUUAUUCUAUAUCUACUAUAUGUAUUAUAAAGGUUAUUUAAUCAUGAGAAAAUUCUUUCAGUUUAAAAAGACUAUCUAACCCAUUUCAACACUGCUCGAACGAAAGCAGAACUUUUUAUUUAAAAUAAGUGUUUUAUCCUUCAGGAGCUGAUUCGAAGCUGGUUCCUAACCUUGGCUUUCAGAAGCAAUGAUCAUUUCACCCAGUUCAUGCUCGACUCCUUCAGUCUUCCACAGCCACACUGAAGCACUGAUUCCACGAUGAUUAAGAGAAGUGUAUUUAUCUGAUUAACAAGUUUAUGUAUCUAUCUGAUUGUUUUAGAUCUGUUAAUUCUUCAUUUUGUGUACUUUUUCUGUUUAUAUGUUCUGUUGUCGGCCCUAGAUGUUUGGAUUGUUGUUAUUUUUUUGUGUGUAUUCAAUUGUUUCGUGUGAUAUGAAUGUGUUGUUUUUGUUCAUACGUCUGGUUGAUUUGUGCUUGUGCUUUAUUCGUGUUCUAAAUGUUAAUUGGAGAACCAAAUGAAUUAAGAAUUGAAAAUCUUUAGGUUUGUAUAGUUGUAACUGGUGAUUGGGGUGCAAUUCAGUAUUGAUAUGUAUUUCAAACGAAUUACUGAUAUGCAUCUGAGCAAAGAGUCGGGAGUGGUUGAUAUAAAUUUGUGUUCAACCUUUUCAGGUGAUCAGUAACAAGAAGUUACCCAAAUGAGGAUUCAUUAGACAAAUCCAUGGAGGUGAUAUUCAUUCUGAAUCUCGUCAUUUACGGCCAAUAUUAUAAAAUCCUGUGUCACUCAUUUCCUGCAAAGUUGUAUCUUAACUCACUACAACAAAACUGGCAUCAGACAACACUAGUCACACAACGGACGCUGGAAAAAGUGUUGGCCGAAACAAAGACACAACACUUUAUUUUCGUCCUCGAAAAACUAUUGUCUAACACCUACGACCUACAACGGUUAAAAAACUGUUGUCUAAUAAAUUUAAUCAGACAACGGUCUCUUAACUGUGGUAUUGUGUAAUGAUGCACGUUAGACAGCUGUUUUUAGAGCCGAUGUGUGAAGAAACUUCAGACAAUAUUCCGAGAAACCGUUGUUGUAAUGAGACAAGUGUUUUAUUUGUUGUGUUGUUUACGAAAAGGUCAGACAAGGGUUCCAUAGAGUGUUGUGUGACUGGGAAGUGAAAACCGUUGUCUGUUAGACACUACAGGACAAAAAAUACCUUUUCACAAAUAAAUAAAGUUACAAAUAUAUAUUCAUUUUCUUAGUAGUCAUAGGCUUUUCUAGCAUUAGAUCAAGUAUUGAUCAAGGAAAUGCAUUUUUAUAUUUUUUUUAUACGUGACUAAUAUUGUUAGUUCUUGACAUCCGUACGGUUAGAUCAUUGAAAUAAAUAUUUAUGAAUUAAUACAGAACUAAUUGAAUACAUAACAAAGAUUAUAUCUACUACUUUUUAAAUUGUAAACAUAAAACACAUACUAAUACAUGCGUCCGAAGUACAAAAUUGUCUCGGUUUUACACAUGAACAAUACAUAUUUGCAUAUAUACAUAACAUAAAUAUAUUUUUUUAAUACAAAGAGUGCAAAAACCAUAAACCGUUGUCUACACUACUUUUAUACAACGGAUUUUCCAUGAAGCGUUGUUUGAGCAUAAUGUAGACAAUGGAUUCUGUUACAACGGUAUAACUUUGGUAACAGUUGUGUCAUUUUCAAUUAUACAAUAAUAUUAUGCUCAUCUUAUACAUAACAAUUCUACAUCAACAAUUAAUAGGAUCAAUUAUUUUGUUUACUAGACACAAUAAUCCUACUAUAUUUUUGUAAAAGAUCAUAUAGGAUAAGUAUAAAAUAUUUAUUUUUUAUACCACUAACUUUUUAUAUAUUUAAAAAUCUAUUUUUAUGAUAUUUUGAUAAUCAACUAUAAAUAAAUACUUGAAAAGAAUUCAUUUUUUCAAUAAUUCAACUUCACAAUAUAUUAAAAUAUAAUAUUUUUAUUAUUUAUGAUUCAAUUUGGUAUCUCAGCUUUGGAGACAAGCCAUUUCAUUUUCCCCACAUAAUUUUUAGUCCCCCAGCAAUCCCAAAUUUUCAUUUCCCCCUCUAGCGUUAAACUCAAAUUUUGGUUUCCCCCUCCCUCUCUUUGUAUCUUUCUUCUUCUACAUCUCCGAUUAGUAUGUAGAAGGUGAACACAGUACACCAGAGAAGCUAUCGAAACAAGGGAAGCUUGCUCUUGCAUCAUAUUCCCUUACCCGCUUCCCCCUUUAUGCUUCUCUCUCUCAGGGGUCUCUCUUCUCUUCUCUCUCACGGGUCUCUCUUCUCUCUCUGGCCAUCUAGCUCUAUUCUCUUCUCUCUCUCCAAUAAUCUCUCUCGCUGUCUCUCUUCUCUGUCCGGCUCUUUCUUCUCUUCUCCCUCGAUGUCUCUCUUCUCUUUAUCCUCUUUUUGUUUGUGAUUAGGAUUUGUUUUACAUACUAACAGUUGUUUUUGGCUUGCUUUGUAAGUGGAGUGUGUUGAUUCUCUGAAGCAGCUAAAGGAGAAUAAGAAUUUGAUUCGCAUCUUCAUUCUGCUUUUGCAGGUCCAAACCCUAGAUUCUCAAUUUAUAUUUUUUUAAUCAAUUACAUAUUGAGUAUGAAUGUGUCAAUGAUUGUUCCCACACUACAAAUGUGUGUGUUUUAUAUUAUGCUUGCCAAAUCUUACUGCUUCUGUAAAUACUAUAUGUAAAUAUGAAAGUCUAUGUGAAGCAAAGGAUACAACAUAUAAGCCAAAAGUAGGCAGUGCUAACUAUUCUCUCUUGUUUUCUCUGCUAAAUUUAGAUCCCUUGUUUUCCUCUUUGUCAUAAGCUCAUCUUUUAAUUAUUAUUAUUGAUAAAUAUUUCACUUUGUUGUUUACAGGAAUGAUAUUGAAGUAGAAGCACUAGUGAUGAAUUGAGAAGAAUACCAGGUAUUAUAUAAACAAAAUUAAGUUAAGUUUUCACUUUGACUAUAUCAUAUUAAAGUGCUCUUUGUAAAUUCUGAUUAUAUGGCUGCCAGAUUAAUUAUUUUGCUUACCUUGUGUUUCAAACUUCUGGGAAGCGUAGCUAGCACUACCUUCCCUUCCCAAAUGGCCUGAAGGAUUGCUAAUAGCAUACAUGUGUAAGUGACACAAAUUGGGGGAGGAGCCCCUGCUGAAAUUUUACUCAGAACCAUUGAGUGUGUGACAUUUUAAUAUAUCAGUCCACACAGUUAACUAGUAAGUGAUAUUAUAAUUAAUUUAUACUUGUCAUUAUAUUAUUUUCCAAGUUCAAGUUAUAGGUAAGUAUGGUGUACUCUUAGUUCAUUUAAACAUGUUGAUAUCAGUGUCAACCAAAUGUAUUUCAAACCUCAUACAGAUUUUUGGUCUUGAUAUCUAGUAAGCUCUAUUCCUUGUGAACCUAUUCAUUUUGUAUUAAAUGUAUGUACGUGAAUAUUAUUCCUACUCAUAGAUCACAAGUGAAUUACUGGUGCUGCAACACUCUCUAUCAGAUUAGGUACAAGGGUGUUGGAAAGCAGUGUGGGCAAAUAAUUAUUGUCGUACCAUAUUGUAUAAUUGAUUCAAAGGCAGUUACCUAAAAUAUAGAUUUCCUGUAUUAGUCAAGAUAUGUAUGAUUUAAAUCCUUGUUUUGAGGAGCCUAUCAAGGCACUGAUGUAAUGUAUAGUUUGCAAUAGUCUAUGACAGGUCCUGAUUGGAACCUACCAUGACUGGUAAUUUUUAAAGCCUACAAAGUCCGCAUAAUGGCACCCUUCUUGCCUACAAUAAAGAUUAUAGUUUUUAUUAAUACUUUAUGUAGAUAUUGAGAAUCAUGUAUUUUAAGCUUGAAAGAAGUAACGACUAGUUACUUGUUAGUUUGUUUAUAGUGGUAGUGGUUAUUACAAGCUGUUUUCUUUUUACUCCUUUUUCUGGUGCUUAAUUGAUAUUCAAAUAUGUUAUAGGUUCAUGAUACAUCAGAUCCAGUGGUGAAGAAGUUAGGUGUUGACUCACUUCCUACUUUGGUUGGUUGGACUUCGAACUGGGAGAAGCAUAUCUUAAAAACAGGAAUCUCCGUAAAAGAUCUAAAAUCUGCAGUUCACGAUCUUAGUGGUUUACUUGAUGGUUUAGAGAAGAAGAAUAAAAAGGCUGGUUCAACAAGCAGAAAACAACAGACUGAACCUCUUUCUCCUUGGGUAUCAUCUACCUUGGUAGUUGAGCUUUUGUUAGUAAAAUCUGGUGCUUGCAAGCAAAUUGGGUGGAAAUGUGGCUGGUUUAAGAUAUUGUUUCUUUAAAUCUGUUGUUUUCUAUAGGUAGAACUACUGUGAGCGGUGACUCUUAGUUCAUUUAAACAUGUUGAUAUCAGUGUCAACCAAAUGUAUUUCAAACCUCAUACAGAUUUUUGGUCUUGAUAUCUAGUAAGCUCUAUUCCUUGUGAACCUAUUCAUUUUGUAUUAAAUGUAUGUACGUGAAUAUUAUUCCUACUCCUCAUAGAUCACAAGUGAAUUACUGGUGCUGCAACACUCUCUAUCAGAUUAGGUACAAGGGUGUUGGAAAGCAGAUUAGUUUCCAAUAGUCUAUGACAGGUCCUGAUUGGAACCUACCAUGACUGGUAAUUUUUAAAGCCUACAAAGUCCGCAUAAUGGCACCCUUCUUGCCUACAAUAAAGAUUAUAGUUUUUAUUAAUACUUUAUGUAGAUAUUGAGAAUCAUGUAUUUUAAGCUUGAAAGAAGGAACGACUAAUUACUUGUUAGUUUGUUUAUAGUGGUAGUGGUUAUUACAGGCUGUUUUCUUUUUACUCCUCUUUCUGGUGCUUAAUUGAUAUUCAAAUAUGUUAUAGGUUCAUGAUACAUCAGAUCCAAUGGUGAAGAAGUUAGGUGUUGACUCACUUCCUACUUUGGUUGGUUGGACUUCGAACUGGGAGAAGCAUAUCUUAAAAACAGGAAUCUCCGUAAAAGAUCUAAAAUCUGCAGUUCACGAUCUUAGUGGUUUACUUGAUGGUUUAGAGAAGAAGAAUAAAAAGGCUGGUUCAACAAGCAGAAAACAACAGACUGAACCUCUUUCUCCUUGGGUAUCAUCUACCUUGGUGGUUGAGCUUUUGUUAGUAGAAUCUGGUGCUUGCAAGCAAAUUGGGUGGCAAUGUGGCUGGUUUAAGAUAUUGUUUCUUUAAAUCUAUUUUUUUCUAUAGGUAGAACUACUGCGAGCGGUCUAAACUUAUUUGUGUUUGUAUAUUGUUACUGUAGUUGGCAAUGGAAACUUUUGUUACUAAUUUAUGGCUUCUUAAUUAUAUUCUUGAGCAUAGUUUAAUUAGGUUAUGUAAAACCAAUGUCCGACAUAACUAAAUACACAAGGAAAAAAAAGAAAAGAAAACAGUUGUCCCAAGCCUUACAAACAACACAAUAUUAAGAAUAAAAACGUUGUUUAAGACAUAUACAAACAAGUAAAUAGUAGUCACAAACCAUUGUCUAAAGCAAUAUUACUCGAGCAUCUGAAAAUAAAAACCGUUGUAGAAAAGCUUUCAAGACAAUUGUUCUAAUAUACAGACUAUUGUUAUAUGGGGCCUUACACAAGUGGCCCCUUCUACAAGACCGUUGUACAAUGUAGUAAAACACAAGCCGUUAUGACACAAAUAUUCUUGUCUGAUACUCUUACUAACAAGUGAGUAAAACCAAAAACUGUUGUGGAUACUCCUAAUAACAACACAAAUUGAAAAUAUGACUGUUGUUGUGAAUUGCUUAUAACAACACCUUGUUAAAUGAUUCCGUUGUUGUUUCCGGAUGUAACACAACACGCAGAAAAACAUAAACCGAUGUGUUUCUUGAUCUCACACAACGGUACGUACCGUUGUCUGAGGUGCGUAUCAGACGGCAUCUCAAUAGACCACGGUUUUCUUGGGUAUCAGACAACGGGCAAAAACCGUUGUUUGAUGCUGUUUUUGUUGUAGUGACUAGAAUCAGUUUGUGUUAAUCAUGUUAAAUUGAAACCUUUUUCAGAGUGAUAGAAGAAUAUGUGGCAGAUUGAUUUGUUCUGUAGCCAAAGAAUCUCCACAGCAAGUCGAAGAAACGACCAUGGACGUGCGAAAGAAAUUUUUCUGAAAGACUACAAGUCACCUGAUUAUUGUUUUGGCACUGUAAGAUACCUUAGCUCCUCAUCUGGAAUGUCUAAACUGCUUGAACAUACAAUUUGUGAGCUUCCAUAUUUGAUAUAUGAAAUUACGUACUUGAGUUGAUGCAUAUGCAUGCCAGUUCAUGCUCAGGUGGAUCUUAAAUUUACACUAGGUGAGGAACAAACAGUUGGCUGCUCCAACGUAAGUGUUUAUUCGAGAGUCGAAGGUAUCACUAACAACUAAUUCUUCUUCAGUAUUUGGAUAUUUUCAGAUUAUCUGGCUUGCCACAAUCAAGAGUUUGCUAUAACGAGUAAGCUUUAAACCGAGUAGAAGUAUAGAACAACUUGAGCUGAUUUUUUAUAGCAGUUUAGAGACUUUAAAAUACAGAUUUUCCUGAUAUUCUCAGGUUGUGUUUCUCGGUUGGUCUUAAAUGGUGAUGAUCACAAGCAGCUUUUAGUGAAGGUCAGAAUUGCAAGGAGCUGAAGGUUUGCCUUUAUUUAGUACAAUUUCUUGUAGUCUAGUGUUUAGCGAUGUCAGCCUUGUACUUCUGUUGCUUUUGAUAUAUUCUGAUUCUGUUUCUGCAAGGUUGAACUUGAACAUUUUACCCUAUUCUAGAACAGUCUGAGACACAUGAGUAUUAAAGAGAUAUUGAGCUUCAUCCAUCUAAUUCCCAGAAAUUUUUAUUGUAUGAAUGUGCUUCCUAACACUAUAAUUACAUCCAGGAGAGCGACAUCUAUAUGGAUUCACGGCAUCUGUUCUUUGUCUUUUGACAAUAUUAGUUCUGAAUAUUUGAUGCAGGGUCUUUACCGGUCAUUAGGAAAUUUCUGCACACAAUGUGAAGCAGCGGAUUUUCGGACUAUCCUAAUUGUCGUAGUGUAUAAGAUGUAAAAACUCUUCAAUGUCAUGAGUCUGAUCAAGUGCCCCCUCAUUUCAACGAUCCAGUGAUACACUUUGGUAUCUCUGCUCCUUAUUUUAUCCGGCCUUCAACAUAGGCAUUUCAUUGGGUUACUGAUUCUGCAGAUAUUGAAGAUAGACUUUCCAAAGCUAUAAUGUCAUUUGACAUUGAAGAUGAAUAAUUCAAAUUUUUAACACGGAUGGAUCCUCUUAUAAUUCCUCUUGAAGAGCGAGUGAUUAUCGAAAUAUUAAAUGACUCACUUUCAUUGGUUGUUCCUCACAAAAGUUUUCUCAACUCAAGCUUUUAUAUAUGGGUGAUGGGUGACUACAGGAAAUAGGUAUCUUGGACUAGGCGGUCCAUCACCCAAAUAUAAAAGCUUGAGUUUAGAAAACUUGUGUGAGGAACAAACAGUGAAAGUGAGUCAUUUAAUGUAUCGAUAAUAACUGGCUCUUCAAGAGGAAUUUUAAAAGGAUCUAGCCAUGAAAAAAAUUUGAAUUGUUCAUCUUCAAUGUCAAAUGACACUACUGCUUUGGAAAGUCUAUCUUCAAUACCUGCAGAAUCAGUAACCCAAUGAAAUGCCUAUUUUAAAGGUCAGAUGAAAUAAGGAGCAGAGAUACCAAAAAGUAUCACUGGAUCAUUGAAAUGAGGGNCAGAAUCAGUAACCCAAUGAAAUGCCUAUUUUAAAGGUCAGAUGAAAUAAGGAGCAGAGAUACCAAAAAGUAUCACAGGAUCAUUGAAAUGAGGGGAACUUGAUCACGCUCAUGACAUGGAAGAGUUGUUACAUCAUGUGCACUACGACAAUUAGGAUAUUGGACAAAUGAUCUUCCUAUAAUGACACUAAAAUCCAAAAACGGAAGAACACUCCAGUUUUUUGUAUUUCACUACAUUCUGCAUUUAUGUUGAAACUUUGGAAACAGUUAUUCUGCAUUCUGUAUUUCACUACUCCAGUUUUUUGUAUUUCACCUGGGAUAUUGAAUAUGCAGGAAGGGCUGUUCAGUGAUGUAAUUCCCUACCCUUGCAUAGUAUAUCUAUUAACACUGCGUGACCUAAUAUCUGAAGCAUUGUAGAAGAAUAAUAAAUUAUAACUUCCGGUUAAAAGUAUGAAAGGAAAUAUCUCGGUAAUAGUUUUGAAAUGUUACCCGCAGAUUAACACUAACUUAUGUUGCUUUUUUGAGCUUUGUCUACUUUACUUUGUAGCGCACACACUGUUCAGUUAAAGCAAUGUGGCCUUCGGGAGCUUAAUUUGCUCUAGUUUACUUUUUAGCACACACUAUUCAGUAAAACCUAAUGUGGCUUUUGGGAGGUUUGCUCUCUUUUGUAUAGUAGGGCACACAUCCAUGUUGAGUAAAAACUAAUGUAACAUGUGAUGGGAGCACAACAAUUUUUUGAAGUUGAUUAUUAUUAGGUACAUUUUCUAUCACUAACCACCACAACAAUAAUGUCU
rnacentral:lncRNA from 1 species